UUCAUUCUUCUAUAUAUAUCUGGAUAUGGCGGAGCAGCCACGCUCCAUGCAAAUAAUAGCUAGUUAGCUCUUGUCACAUCACCCCAAUCCUCCUUACCAAACAGCUUGAUACUCCUCUUAGCUUCAAUCCUGAACUGUGACCCCAGGUUCUGGUCAUCCUCACGAUGAAGAACAACCAUGUCACCAACUCUCAGUUCAUAAUAUUUAACAAAUUGACGCCAGCCCUUAGAAAGCACUGGCUUGUCAUAAUCUCCAUCUCUCUUCAGGCAACGAAUAACUCGAAGCUCACCACAGCUAUCUUUAACAUGCAAAUCAACAGAAUUAUUUCCAGCAAAAUCUAAAUGCUGCAAGCAAUGAGCUGGGAACGAGAACCGAAAACGAACAUCAGUAUCUGUCAACACUUUGCUGAAGAUCUGCAUUUUUUUCUCAAGGGUCGUAAAAAGAGAGAGAAAUGGUUAUGUUUAAGCUAUCUGCUGGAUUGAUAUGGUUUCUUGCAGGGAGCUAUCUGUUGAUUGAUAUGGUUUCUUGCAAGGGGCUUGUUGAUUUAUACUAAAAACUAGCUAGCUACUGUAUUCACGGUAGAAAGACAUCGAGCGAGAGAUUUCGGAAAUCUUGUUCAUUUGAUCGAUUUCGCAUGGCGUUAUUUAAAUCUUGGUGGAUUAUUUGUAGAUAGAACAAGAGAAACGCAGGCUUAUCAAAGACUAAAUGAGCCAGGAGGUACGCUCGUAUUGCCUCUCGUGCACCUCGUUCGUUCUAACUUGCGAAAACCAAACACUUGCUCAAGAUCUUGCAUGCUUGUCGAAGUGUUUAGUGAACUAGAGCAUUUGUGCAACUUGGACAAUGGUACAAGAAUAAAUAAGGUUUAUUUUUCAAUUAUAUUUUAUGAAAUGAAAAUUGUCCUCUUAUUAGACAUACAUGAAUAAUAAUAAAAUAUAUUUCUUAAAAAUUAUAUUUUAAAAGGUUUCAUUUAUAAUUUUAUCUAGGUUACCUAUUCAUUUUAAGUCUGGGUCAUGAACUUAAGUUUGCGUCAUGAACUUGGGAUAAUGUCAUCUCUUAAGAGAUGAGGCUUUCACUCUUUCAAUUAUCUAGCAUUAACAAAAAAAUAAAAUUAAUUACAUGUUUAUGGAGUUAUUAAUCAUGCUCAAUAAUUUUUACAGUGUGCAACUUAAAUAUGAAAAUGGAGAUUUAUAUAAUACAUUGUUAUCAGUUAAUUGUAUUUUGCCAUUACUAUUGGCUCUUGUGAUUUUAGAUAAAGCUGGUUCUUGAUCUUGCAGGCGUGUGCUCUAAGUCCGCCCAAAGUUUCAUCAAUAAGGUCCACAGAGAGGGAGAGCUACAUCCUGCAUUUUCUUGAGAUUUCUGCGAGGUUUUUGUUCGAAUAAGCAACAAGGUGCACGAUAUUGCUGGAGGGCAAGUCCUUCCAUGCGUGUCCAAAAUUCGAAGUCAUUUUCAAUUCAAGGUCAACAAUAUAUUUUUUAUAAUAUAAUAAUGCUAGAAUGACGCUCGAUCUCCUCAGCAAUCAGCAUGCAUCGAGUAAUCGCGUUUGGAUUUCGAGCUCCACUGAUUUGAAAUGCUCGGUGUCUGUGUUGUAUACAUGUAGCCCAAGGAAUAAAUUAAGAGGGUUUGGAGAAAUUUGCCACACGGGAUCAUGUCUGUACUAUCGACCGAGACGGUCAGCACUGUGGGCGUGCAAUGACGUUUCUACUCGGAGGAGGCUAUGUGAUUUCUUUUUGACAGCACUGUACUUAAGCAUUGCCCUUUACUAUUACAAUUUUAUGUGCUGCAGCAAAUCGCUUUCUUUCUUCUAGUUCUUCCUUAGCAGGAGUUUUGUAUAGCAACCAACUUUCUUCUUCGCGCUUUUCAAAGCCGCAAUAAUAGACUUAAAUGCGCAUGUCAUUUGAAACGUUGCCUCAUCGGCAUGUCAUUAGAAAUGUUCUUCUCGCGGUUCUUCGCCUCUCUCUCUGUUUUUUUUUUCUUUUUUUUAAGUACUAUUUUAAUUUUGUUUACCAACAAAAGUUAAUUGCCGGUUGAUUAAAACAAUAUAGUGAUAUGCACCCCGGGAAGCGAGCAAGCUGAACAAGCUGCAAGCAGCGACCUCAUUUUUUCAUGUUACACUAUUAGACAAAUCUAGAGUGUUUUUAAGAAUUUAUUAUUUAAAGAUAUGAUUUUUUUAUUUUUUUGAAAAAUUCUUUAAAAGUUAGGUUGUCGCAAACCACAAGUCAUUCAACUGUCCACAGCAAUCCACACGAACUACCGAUAAAACAUCUCUUAAAUUUCUAUUUCGGAGAGAGGAAUUUCUAUGCCUAGAGUACUAGCCUUUUAUUCUGUGACUUGCAUAGUUUUUUUAUCCAACAUACAACAAUAAAAUUAAGAAGCAUAGCUUACUAUUUAUAGAAAAAAUCUAAAAAACCUUAUAAAUUGGAAGACAUUUCAAUUUGCCCCUUGCUUAAUCGAGUCCUUCCUUGAUUUUUCUAGGUCUAGAAAUAUAAUAUUUGUAUUCUAGUCCUUAAUUUCUAAAAUAUAUUUUAAUCAAGUCAUACCUAAUUAAAUUAUCUCAAUUUAAUUUCUAACUAGUGGUUCUUAAUGUCUGUGACCCAUUAGGUUCCUAAUAUAUUGGCCCAAAUAUAAAUUAUAAUUCUAAUUAAAUAUAAUUAAAUAAAUCAAACAAUUUAAUUUAUUAUCAAUUCAACAAUUGAUUAAUUUAUAUUUAAAGAUCAGGUGCAUCGUCUAAUAACGUGUCAUGAUCCCCUAAAUAUUAGAGAAGUCAUUGGUGGUUUGACUUAACCUUUGAGUGACUAGUUUUUUAGUGUAAUUAAUAUCAUUUCAUCAAUAAUGUUCCGAUUAAUUAGUUGCGAGUGAAGUUGAGAAGAGAAAAAAGAAAAAUCUUACCUUAAUAUAGUUGCGAGUGAAGCUGAGAAGAGAAAAAAAUAAAUUCAUAAAGUAUAUUAAUUAAAAAAUAUAUGAGAAGAGAAAAGAAAAAAAAAAGAGAAAAAGACAUACUUGAGAAUGGAGAAGAAGAGGAGUUGAAGAGAAAAGAUAAGAGAAAGAAAGAAGAGGAUGUUGUUGUUUUUUACAUAAGGGGAAGAAGAAGAAGAAGGAGAAGAAAAAGAAGAAGCAGAAUAUGCUCGUCUGUUGUGAAAUGAGGGAUUCUAUUUAUUAGGGUAUUUUACUAAUGGUUUUACCGACGGAUAUUAAUAUUUCUAACUUUCAUUGAUGAUUUCGUCUAUAAUAUUUAAUUUAAAUUUUCAAUUUAAUUAAAAAAAUUCAGAAACCACCAAAUAUCACCAACGACUUUUCAAUCCGUUGGUGAUUCUAUUUGUAUUAUUUAAAUUAAAUUUUAAAUUUACUCAAAAAUUUUCAAAAACCUGCAAAAUAACACCAAUGACUUUUCAAUUCGUCUAUGAUUUUGUCUAUAAAGAGCAAUAAUUAACUGUGCAAUUGGAAAGUGAACAGUUCCAGUGCUCUUUGAAAAAUACCGACGAAAUGUUCUGUCGGUGAUUCCCUUUGUAAUUGACAUGAUAAACAAUGUUAGGCAAAAGUGAACACUUUACUGAUGAUUUUACCAAAGGAUUUUACCGACGGAAUUAAUUACGUCGGUAAUUCUUUUGGUAUAAAUGACAUAUCAUCGUUUUUUUUUUUUGCUUUGUUUUAAUUCUUUUUUCCCCACCGUAAUUCCUUUGGUAGAUACUGAGAGAAUAUUUUUGUCGGUAAAAUUGACUGUAAUUUUUUGACAGAAAUAUUCUGUCAGUAUUUCUGUUUGUCUUUAUCAAUUUUCUGAUAGUGCUCCACCAUAAUUAAUGUGUAAAACAAUAUUGUAUAUAUCACUUGCUGAAAAUCUAGCAAGUGAUAUUUUUCAUCAUUUUAAGGACCUAAAAAUCCAUACUCAUUUGCGUCAAGAGAUAUGAGAGUCGCUACCUAGUUGUUUGGUUUAGAAUCACUAGGAAAUCCGGGUAUACUGGUCCUAUCAAAAAUUCUAAGGGUAAGGAACUGGUUGUGGCUAGGAAAUGUAUUAACACCCCUAGCAAAAAGAGGAGGGUAAAAGGGUAUUUUAAAUUAAAAUAAACCACGUGGUCAUAACACAAAAGGGGAGGGGUAAAGGGGUAAAAUACCCUAAAACCAUCUCUAUCUCCCACUUUUCUUCUAAGUGUCGCCGACAAGGCACCUUGCCCUUGCUACCAGUGUGCUUUCCAGCGAUAGCCAAGGCUAUCGUUGCACCAAGCAACAGAAACCAAGGUCAUUGUUGCCUACAUCCACACGAGGCCCAACACUGCGAGCAACAUCUAGCACGCCUGGUGCUGCCACCCAUGACAACGUGAGACAUUGCUACACAUACUUGUUUUGUAAAAAAAUCUGAUUUUAAAAAAUCAUGAGAAAAUUUGACUUUUUCGAAGAAAAAAAAUCUUUAUUUCGCACAUAAAAUUAAUUUCUAAUUAACACUAAUAAAAAUUAAAAUGUGCAAUCAAACAAUCCUAAUUCACCUAACGAAGGCGCUAAUCCCACUAUUGGGUUUCCAUAAUGGCAUACACACAGUAGAAAGAAUAAAAAAAUUAUUUGAAGUCCAUAGGAUCCCGUUAGACAAAUCUAGAGUUGUUUAGGGAUUUAUUACCUGAAGAUCUGAACUUCUUCGGCUUUGAAUAAUUCUUUAAAGGCUGAGUUGUUGCAAACCACAAGUCAUCCAAUUGUUCAGCUUCCAACGGUAAUCUACACGAACCACUAGUGAAAAAUAUUCUAAAUCUCUAUUUAAGAGAGAGGAAUUUCUAUGCCUAUAGUACUAGCUAUUUAUUCUAUGACUAGUAUAGUUUUUUUUUUUUUUGUCUAAGACAGAUAAUAACAAAAUUAAGAGGCAUAGCUUACUAUUUAUAGAAAAUUCCAAAAAUCCCUAUAAAUUGGAAAACAUUUCAAUUUAUCCCUUGAAUAAUAUCCACAUAUUAUUGUUCUCUCUAUGGACCUGUCUCUUUUAUGUAUUGGGGGAAUGCUCGUUUUUGCUGCCUAUCUAAACUUUUUUAAAAAUUUUAUUUUUUAUUUUAAAUUAAUUUUUUAUGUUUAAAAAAAAAACUUUAUGUGUGAAUAUUAAAAUUAGAUUUUUAAAAAAAUAAAAUAAAAAUUAUUUUAAUAUAUUUUCAAAUAAAAAACAUUUUAAAAAAUAAUUUUUACCAUAAUAUCAAACACAACCUAAAUUUUAAAAGAAAAAUAAAAGGAUUUAUAUAAGGAAUGUGUAAUAGCAAGAUUUCAAACACUAAUCAACAAUAAACUCAACCAUGUAUAUUUACUAUACAAAAUGUAAAACUACUCACAAAUUACUAUUAUUAGCUACAUUAUCUGCUUUCACAAAUUAUUAUUAUUAAAACAAGGCAUGUCUUGAGCCUCAACUCAUGCGAUUCAAAAGUCUAAAAUCAUAUACACAUCCAAGACUAUAACUUUUAUGAAAGAUGUGAGGUCAGAUAAAUUUGUUUUGAAGGUAAAACCCCAAACACAAAUUGAAAGACGAGAUUAGUCUUCUAAUUUGAUGAGAAAACUUGUAGGAGGGAGUUGUAUCUUGAGAAGGAAUUUAAGAGUAUCGGAAGGAUUGUUUUCUACAUCCUUUAAACUUCAUAUCUUUAUCCUUGAUUUUAUCAUGAAAUCUUAGUCCUGAGAUACAAAAACAGGGAAAGACCAACUAGACAGUUGGGUUCUAUUUUGCUCCUGGGAUUUGGAGAGAGAUUAUCUUAAGUGCUGGAAUUUUCAGAGAUCAUGAGCAACUAAUUUCUAAUUUCGAUUUAAGGAGAAUAUACUCCAUUUCUAUUAGAAAGUUGUGAGAAGUAAUGUUGUUAUUGUAAUUCUUUUAAAUUCAAAUAGUUAAUUUUCCUAGUUUAGCUUUAAUGUACUUAUUUAGCCCAUGAGAGAAGCAUAAGCAGCGAUCAUGGAAUUUCGAGAAACAAAGAUUUUCCCUUUUCAUGUCAUUUGAAACGUUUUUAGCUUCAUGUUUAUAUAUACACACACAUACUAAUUAGCUAUUAAAAAAAUGACAAACUAACUAAAAGAAAAACUUACAUUAAAAAAAAAACAAAGAAACAACAAAAAAUACUAAUAUUGAGCAUUAAACUACCUCAAUGUAUAAUUUGAAUAUCUAGCUAGAUUAAUAUCUAUAUAAAUAAAAUUUUGAAAUUUAGCACGAAACCAUUAAACUAUACGAUGAAAAAUUAAAUCAUAAAUUUUAUUUCAACCAAGAUCAACAGCACCGUAUAUAGAUGACCAACAAAUGAUUUCAUUCCAGCAAGGAAAGCUGAAUAGUCUUCAGCAUACUCAAUCCAUUGCAUAAUCAUAACUAAUAAUUCUUCUAUAGGCAAGAAAUUUUCUGGAACUCAGACUACCCUGUAACAACAACCACAAAAACAUCUCAAUUUUUUAGAAGAAAUAUACUUGCUACAGUUAAGUAUCAAAAUUCUCAGAUCCUGCAUGCUGAUUUAACAGUAAAAAUCUCAAUGGAUUCACUGACCAAAUUCCAAGCAAUCCAAUUGACCACAAGCAGAGAGCACACGAACUGAUGUUACAAACGCAGCCUCCAGCAUGUUACAAACCAUUCUAAAGCUUCCUCCAGCAAUUUUGAUAAACGACAUCCUUGCCAGCUCUAGCUCACCGCUUUUAGCAUACCCAUUAACCAUACUCGUCCAAGAGAGCACAUCUCUAACUCCCAUGGUAUCAAAGAUCCCUCUUGCAGAAUCCAAGCAGCCACAUUUCACAUGCAUUGUGAUUUACAUUUCUAGUUUUACAUAUUCGUGAAAACUCUUCCCUUUUCUCAAACCCCCCUUCUGCGAGCAAGCUGAACGAGUGGCUAUCGUAGUGACCUCUUCUGGCUCCACAUUGCCCUCCACUGACAUCGACUCAAAAAGCUUCCCAACAGUUACGCUUAGAACACCCAUCAGUCAUAGACAGAAAUUCCAUCUCUAACAGGAAUUCCUUCAAACAAGUGUCAAGCAAAACCCAAACAACCACGCAGGUCAUAAAAACGAGCCAACCCAUCUUGAAACAACAUAGCAUGAUUUAUACCUGCAGUGUGAGAGAGGGCAAAAGGCCAAGGCAAGACAAAGCUUGGGGGUAGAUUAGCCAGACUAUAAAGGAGAAGGACUUAUUUGUACUUGUUCCAAGAUUGUGAGUCAAAAUAAUACCGCUUCUUUUCCUUCAAACGCAAUCUCGUCCUACGUUCCAGGGAAUCUUUUUACCUAAUCUCUUAAUAUAUAUUUGAAUGGCAUCUUGGCUUAAGCUCCUUCAAUUAUUGCUUUCGAAUAUUCUCAUGGUAUUGCUCUUUGUUUUUGAGGAUCCAAUUAAUAAGCAAAUCAUGGAGACUUGGCUGUUGACCUCAACACUCUCGUCUGCUUUGACUCCUUCAAUAUCUUGGAUGUGAACCAGGCUUGGAAUAUUGGGUGUUCUUGUUUUUGAUACAUGUAAAGAGGUAAGCUAAGCAUCUCUUUCAAGAUCUCUCUAGCUGCUGCAGCGAUGCCAAAUCGCUUUCUUUCUUCAAGUUCCUUAGCAGGAGUAUUGUAUAGCAACCAACUUUCUUUGCGUUUUGCUCCAGGUCUGGGCCAAUUUUGAUGCCUUUUGUGAAUCCCUCCAUCUGGGCUUAUCAAAAGAGGAGGAGGAAAGAAGUAAGUUUCUCUUCUCAGUUUUGUAUGAUAUGGUUUCUGUGCUUCAUUAUUGAAUUACUCUCUGUGAAUUUUAAAGGACUGGACAUGUUUCAAUUCAGUACUGAGCUAGUUUCUUGAUGGUUGCUUGCCUGCUUACUUCAGACUUCUUUACAAAAGAAAAGAAAAGAAAGAAAAACUGUCCUCUUGAGACAUCACAAAACCAAUAAAACUUCACAUAAACUAGGAAGGAAAGGGGAAGUUGGAAUCUUGAGUUCACAGGCUAAUGGUGGAGUCCACGUUACAAUUGCUUUGCUUAAACAAAUCUUAGCGUUCUGUUUUUUCAAUUGAAAUAAAAUGAAUAUAAUUUCAACUCAAAUCUAUAUAUAACCACAAUUUUAAAAGUUGAGUUUUAAUCGGUAGAACCUAAUUAAUUGGAUGAACAACUAAUAAAAUUAUAAUUUGAUUAAAAAUAUUAAGCAGUUAAAUUUUCAAUAAAUUUUUUAUUAAAUAAAAAUAUAAAAAAAAUCAAAUCUAAAAAAAAAAAAACAAAAGGAUGACCUUUCAAAACAAAGUUCUAAAAAUACAAUCAUCAAUUUUGCAAGGUCUUUCUAAAUUUUUAACCUGAGAUUUCAUAAUAUGUUAAGACACUUCUCAUAAAAUUUCAGUCUGAUCUAAUAAUUAAAUUGAAAAAUAUAAUUACUAUUUUAAAAAUAAAUAAUAUUUAAAAAAAUAAGAAAAAAAAAUAUUGCCUCUCUUUUUGUUUUACACGGUCCCUCCAACCUAUUAUUAUUAUUAUUUCCCCUCUUUUAAUUUUAAGAUAUCCCAUUUUAUUUUAUCAGUCGAAAGUUUUAUAAAUACCAGAGUUUCCAGAAAUCUCCAAAAUGUCGUCAAAGUUUUAGGAACAUAAUUUUAUAGAUGAUAUGUUAUUGCGAUAGGAUUUGAAUCCAUCCAUCUUUGUUUCUUAGCAUCACCAAUGAGUUAGUUCCCAUGAUUUCAAAAACUAUAUGUAUGGAUUCUCUAUGGUUUUAAAUCAAUGGAAAUCUUCAUUUUCAGACACUUGAAAAGCGCACAAAAUAGAAAAAAAUAAAAAUAAAAAACCAACAAAAUUGAAAAACCUGGAAAUCAAGCCAGAGCAAGGGAUAGAUAUGAAAUGUUAAAAACUUGAGAAUUACAUGCACCCUGUUUACAGAUAAGGAUGGAAAGACUAAGACUGAUGCUAAGAACAUCGAUUAUCACUACAAACAGUACUCAAACAUAAACAGAUUGACGCUCCAUGCAAAUAAUAGCUAGUUAGCUCUUGUCACUUCAACCCAAACCUCCUCACCAAACAGCUUCAAACUACUCCUCCUCUUAGCUUCAAUCCUGAACUGUGACCCCAGGUUCUGGUCAUCCUCACGAUGAAGAACAACCAUGUCACCAACUCGCAGUCCAUAAUCAGCAACAAAAUCACGCCAGCCCAUAGAAAGCACUGGCUUUUCAUAAACUCCAUUUCUCUUCAGGCAACGAAUAACUCGAAGCUCACCAUAGCAAUCUUUAACAUUCAAAUCAACAUAAUUAUUUCCAGCAAAAUCUAAAUGCUCUAAGCAAUGAGUUGGGAACGAGAACCGCACACGAACAUCAGUAUCUUUCAACACUUUGCUGAGGAUCUGCAUUUUUUUCUCUAAGGGUCGUAAAAAGAGAGAGAACUGGUUAUGUUUAAGCUAUCUGCUGGAUUGAUAUUGUUGCUUGCACCGAGCUUGUUAAUUUAUAACUAGCUAACUACUGUAUUCACGGUAGAAAGACAUCGAGCGAGAGAUUUCGGAAAUCUUGUUCAUUUGAUCGAUUUCGCAUGGCGUUAUUUAAAUCUUGAGGGAUUAUUUGUAGAUAGAACAAGAGAAACGCAGGCUUAUCAAAGACUAAAUGAGCCAGGAGGUACGCUCGUAUUGCCUCUCGUGCACCUCGUUCGUUCUAACUUGCGAAAACCAAACACUUGCUCAAGAUCUUGCAUGCUUGUCGAAGUGUUUAGUGAACAAGAGCAUUUUGGGCAACUUGGACACUGGCCAAGGACCCAUUUAAUAAAAAACUACAAGAAUAAAUAAGGUUUGUUCUUCAAUUAUAUUUUAUGAAAUGAAAAUUUUGUCCUCUUAUUAGACAUACAUGAAUAAUAAUAAAAUAUAUUUCUUAAAAAUUAUAUUUUAAAAGGUUUCAUUUAUAAUUUUAUCUAGGUUCCCUAUUUAUUAAUACAUUGCAUAAGAUUUGUUAUCAGUUAAUUGUAUCUUGCCAUUAUUAUUGGCUCUUGUGAUUUUAGAUAAAGCUGGUUCUUGAUCUUGCAGGCAUGUGCUCUAAGUCCGCCCAAAGUUUCACCAAAUCCUGCGUUUUCUUGAGAUUUCUGCGAGGUUUUUGUUCGAAUAGGCAACAAGGCGCACGAUAUUGUUGAAGGGCAAAUCCUUCCAUACGUGUCCAAAAUUCGAAGUCAUUUUCAAUUCAAGGUCCACGAUAUACUUUUUAUAAUAUAAUAAUGCUAGAAUUACGCUCGAACUCCUCAGCAUGCAUCGAGUAAUCGCGUUUGGAUUUCGAGUUCGACUGAUUUGAAAUGCUCGAUGUCUGUGUUGUGUGCAUUAGGGGUGAGCAAAAAAACCGAAAAACCGAUUAAACCGAGAAAAUCGAAAAAAAAAUAACCGAAAAAACCGAACCGUAAAAAAAAACCGAUCAAACCGAUUAGAAAAAUUAAAAAACAAGCCGGUUCGGUUCGGUUUCGGUUUUAAAAAGCUGAAACCGAAUAAACCGAACCGAACCGAACCGGUUCAAGUAAAAAAAUUAAUACUACUAUAAAUACCUACUUUUCAGCUUUCCCCUUCUUUUUUCUAAACCCUAGCCGCCACCCAUCUUUCACAAUCUUUACCUCUCAACUCAGCCCCCACCCCCAUCUUCACUUUCAACCUUUAUCGUCCAUAUUUUUCAAUCUUCAUCUCUCAGCACAGCUCCCCUCCCAUCUUCAUCUCUCAUCCCUCAACCUUCCCCAUCACAGCCCCUAUCUUUAUCUCUUAUCUCUCAAUUUUUCUCACAAUCCUCCAUCAACAUCUUCAUUUCUCAUCUCUCUCAAACUUUCUUUAAAGCUUUAAGCACAACUCCCCUCCUUCCUCAAAGUAGAUCCGGUGAACGAACCAUCAUUAUGUCUCAUCUCUCAAUCUUUUUGUUCUUUUCUUUAAACAUAGUCGACUAAGCUCAUGGAUUAACAACCAAACAGCAGCUUUGGAGCCCCCCUCUCUCCAAUCUUUAUCUUUUAAUUUUUGUCCUUGUUUAGUUUUUUUUUUUCCUGAUUUUUGUAGAUUUAUUAUGUAUUCAUUUUCUAUAUUUAUUUACAAGAAUGUUGAUCUGUCAUUCAUGUUCCGAUUACCGUAAUGGAUGUUGUGAUAAUUAUUUUUUUCAAAUUUUCGUUUGAAUCUUGUUCUUUUUGGCUUCCUGAUUCAGAAAACUUGCUUGAUAUGCGUGGUCAAGAUGAAAUCGGUUUAUUCCGGUUUUUCCUUUUAAUUAACCGAACCGAACCGAACCGAAACUGGUCGGUUUGAACCGGUUUCGGUUCGGUUUCGGUUUUGAUUUAAAAAUGAAUAAAUAAAUCGGUUUGGUUAGUUUUUUAGGUGAAAACCGGACCGAACCGGAAAUGCUCACCCCUAGUGUGCAUGUAACCCAAAGAAUAAAUAGUGUUUGUGUCAUCGACCGAGACGGUGAGCACUGUGGGCGUGCAAUGACGUUUCUGCUCGGAGGAGGCUAUGUGAUUUCUUUUUGACAGGCAGCGGUUUCUUUUCUUUAUUCUUUAUUAUUUUUUCCCAAAGGGUUCCUAUUAAGAUAGAAAGGAUACAUGGUUCAGACAAAAAAAAAAAAACAUAUUUAUCUUGUAAUCCUAUUUAUUUUUAUAUUUUAUAUUUAUCUCUCUAACCCGAAACAUGUUUGUUCUUUUUAUAUUUAUAUUUAUAUUUGUACUUUCUAUUUUAAAACAAUAAUCAGUGCAUUAAUUAGACAGACAAUUACUAUCUAAUCACAAUUAUUUUCACAAUUUACACGGCUGAAUCUUGAAACACACAUGGUGCGGCUAAUCAAGCCAAAUUUGAUAGCAUUGAAGGGGUUUUGGUGACUUUUAUUUUUCACAAGAAGAAUGAAGUGCAACAUGGUGUUAUGUUGGCUUUAUCUUGCAGCUGCAAAAUGGGAUAAAAUGGCUGUCAUUUGUCAUUUUAUGGAGUUGAAUUAAACAUAUUUGUUUUUACGUUAUAAUUUUUUUUAAUUUUGUUUUUUUAAUUUUUUUUAUCAAUAUCCUCUCUCUCAUUUCUUUUUUUAAUUGUUCGCAUUUAAAUUUUUUUAUAACUAGUAACUAAUCUUUUUUAUUGUCUCUAUAAUUUUAUAAUAUCUUAAAUAGAUUAUUAUAAUUUAUCUUUAAAUUUUACAUCGAUCUAUUGUGUUUGUAUAUAUGAUAUAUUUAUAAAAAUAAAAAUCACAUGUAUUUAAUGAACCUAAUUUCACCUCCAAGAUUGAUAAAAAAUAUAUAUUUAAAAUGAAAAGAACAAUAAAGAUAAAAUAUUUACAUGUAUAUCUAUCAUUUCCUUUUUUACUAGGAUAUAUAAUUUAUUUUGUUCUCUUCUUGGAGACCCUUCUUCUGCAUACUCAACUCACUUUAUUUCUUCAAGCUAGUGAUAUUAGAAAAAUAAAAAAAUACUAUUAAUAUUAGAAAAAACCUAUAUAUAAUUUUUUUAUAUUUUGAUAAUAUAAUACCCACUUAAGAAUAUAUUAAGAAAAUUAAUGUGAAAACAGGAAAAGAAAGAAAGCAUCACGGUAGCAAUAGUGCCAUAAACGUGUUUGUCGGAGAAAAGAAGAAAGAGCUUGGAGAGGUGGAAGAUAAUUCACAUCAAUGGUGAUGUGAAUGUUUGUACCUGAAAUAUUCUCACGGUUGAUUGAGACUUGUUGUUGCUAAUGAUUAAUCGAUUUUAAUUUAAGACAAGACUGCAAGAUCAUCGUGUACAUCGAAACAUGGAGAGAUAAUAACCUAAGGCUGGUUGGUUUGUUUUUGCGUUUUAAACGUUUAUAUUUAUCAUGUAAAUAUUAUCUGUGAGCUUGUUGAAGCUCAGGGGCCUGAUUUUGUGCCUCGAAAGAAGUAGAAAACAUUACAAAAAAAAAAACCAUACUUAUCAGUGCAUUAAUUAGUUUUACAAUUUACACGGCUGAAUCUUGAAACACCAGCCCAGUUAUUGGCCAUUUUAAGCUUCAAACGCAACGGCUGAAACCUUCGAACUUACUCUUGACUUCCAUCUGGAAGUGCUUCAUCGUUAAAUUCAUUGUUUUACUUUUAUAUAUAUAUAUAUAUAUAUAUAUAUAUAUUGAGUUAUCUCGAUAUUAUAUUUCGGAUAAUAAGUUAGUCAAAUUAACCAUGAUUGUCACUCUCUUUUUUUUUUCCUUUGAUUUGUUUUAUAAAAUUAAAAUGUUUUAAACAAUUUCAUACUUCGGUGUUAAAUUAUUGAUCCUUGAACUAAGUGAUUUUUUCACUUUUUUAUUUUAUUUUGAGUUAUCCCCAGUAUAGGUUAAUCAAAUUAACCCGGGUUAACUUGCAUUUUCUUACUCGAUGUCUUUUUAUUUAACUUCGGUUUUUUUUGUUGGGUCCUUCUUUUGGAAAUCUAACUUUUUUUAUCCUGAUUUCAUGCCGCUAGUGGCAAGUUAGUCGAGUUAACUGGGUAUUUUCCCCCCAAAUUUUUUAUGACUUGUUUUUAUUUUUUAAUUUUAUCAUUCUGCAUUAAAUUAUUUUCCUUAAACUUUUUUUUUUUUUUUUGCUUCUCUUUCUAUUUCUUUAUUUCAAGAGUGGGUUGAUCAAGCUAACUAGGGUCAACUUGCAUUUUUGUUCACAACAUUUUUUAAUUUAACUUAUGUCUUUUUUGGCUUACCCUUUAAUUUAUAGAGGUCUAAUUUUUUUAACAUGGUUGUCUCGGAUUAUCAUCGCUUGAAUAUCUUUUUUUAAUGUUGAAAAAAAUUUGGUCCGACCCUCGAUGUGGCUCAAGCCACCUUCUUUCCAAUGAACAACACUUAAAUAAUAGCAUUCAAGGAGAGGAACAAUGAUUUCCCUAUAUUAGUUUUUGUUGAUAGACUAGAUCUUUGACCUGCUCUACACUCGGGUCAGAUCAAUUUUUUUUAAAUUACAAAAGAAACAUCCAGACAUUGCUUAUAUUUUUCAAGUAAAUGAUUUUUAAAACCGCGUGGAUGUUGAGCCGAUAUGACCUGAUCGACCUGAUGGAUAUAACCCCAAACAACCUGUAAAAAUGUUGUUUGAUUACCAAAAAUUCAAGACAAUAUUUUUUUUUAAUAAUAUUAGAAUGAAAACAUAUUGAAUCGAUUCGGGCUAACACAGGUUAAUUUAUCAAAUUGACGACCUAGAUUAUAAGACUAUGAUAACCCCACAAAAAGUAAAUCAAAAUAAAUUACGAAGCUCAAUUCUCAAUCAACUCAUUGUUGAAGAAUGUAAAUGAAAAACAUUAAUUAAAAAAUAACAAAAAAUUAUCUAGGUUAACUUGUCAAACCUGUGAUCCGGGUUAUCAUAUCAAAGAUAACCUCAUGAAAAGUAGACAAAAAAAAUUACUUGAUUUAACCCGGAUUAAUAUGUCGAACCUGCGACCAAGGUCAUGAUAUUGUGAUAACCCCAUUAAAAAAAUCAAAAUAAAUUGUGAAGCCUAAUUUUUAAUAAACUCAUUGUUAAAGGUUGAAAAUAAAAAAAAAAUCAAUUUAAAAAUAGAACACAGUGAAACAACUUGAGUCUACCCGGGUUAACCCCCAAAACACGUGAUCCGAGCAUAAGACUGGAUAACCUCGUAGAAAGCAAAACAAAAUAAAUCACGAAGCCUAAAUCACAAUCAAACCAAUGUCGAAUCAUGAAAAUAUAAAAAAUGCCAAUGAAAAAGUUAAAAAAAAAAAAAAAAAAACUCAAGUCAACAGGGUUAACUCACCAAACCCACGACUCAAGUCACAAAGCUGAGAGAACCUCAUAAAAAAUAAAUCAAAAUAAAUCAUGGAGCCUAAUUCCCAGUCAACUUGAUGUUGAAUGACUAAAUUGAGAAAAAAAAACGAUCAAUUAAAAAGAGAGAAACCACAAUAAAUCUGCAACACGGGUUAUAAAUCCAAGCUAACCACAAUAAAUUAUGAAUCCUAAUAUCCAAUAAACUAAAUAUUGAAGUAUGAAAUUAGAAAAAAAAUCAGGAUAAUCUCAUAGAAAGUAAAUAAAAAAAGACCUAAGUCAACCUUAAUUAAUCUGUCAAACUCGCGAUCAAGAUCAUGAGACUGUGAUAACCUUGUUAAAAGCAAAAAUAAAUAAAUUAUGAAGCCUAGUUUUCAAUAAGCUCAUUGUUAAAGGUUGAAAAUGAAGAAAAUUAAAUUAAAAAAUGGGAUACAACAAAACAAUAUGUGUUUAUCCGUGUUAACCCACAAAACACGUGACCUAAGCAUAAAACCAAGAUAAACCCAUAGAAAACAAACCAAAAUAGUUCACGGGGCCUAAUUCGUAAUCAACCAAAUAGUGAAGGAUGAAAUAGAAAAAAUUCCAAUAAAAAAAAAUGUCAAUAAAAACUCAAGUUAAGUAGGUUGACCCGCCAAACCCGCGACUCGAGUAAUAAGACUGAGAUAACAUUAUAUAAAGCAAACUAAAAUAAAUCAUGAAACCUAAUUCCCAAUCAACCUAAUGUUGAAUGAUGAAAUUGAAAAAAAAUUAUCAAUUAAAAAAGAUAUAUAAAACUGGAGUCAACCCGCCAAACACGUGACACGGGUUACAAGAUUGAGCUAAAUAAAGCAAACCACAAUAAAUUAUAAAACCUAAUCUCCAAUAAACUAAAUAUUGAAGUAUAAAAUUAGAAAAAAUAUAUAUAUAUAGAAAAAUAAAGACAAAAAAAUGUUGUUGAAAUGAAUAGUAUUUUACAAGAUAGUGCACUAUAAAAGCACCACCUCUUUUAGUUUAUACUAGAUAUUUGACCCGUGUUUCACCAUUGGUUAGAAUUAUUAUUUUUUGACAAAAAAAUUUAUAUAUAGACUAUUUCAAUAAUUUUUUGUAUUUUAGAAAAUUCCAAGUGAAAAAAACAAUAUACAUACAUAUAAUCAAAACAAUUGAGAACUGUAUGUCUUAAUAAGUGAAAAACAAAAACUGAAAACUCGAGAGACAAGUAUAGAUUAAGAUAUUUAAUUUUGUAAGAUGUGACAUUUACACGGUUGUGUUUUCUAAAUUUAUUGAUUAAAAUAAUUGUUUUAUUCAAUCAAACAAUAAUAAAAAUAGACACACAAAUUAAGUUAAUUGAAUAAAAUAAAAUGUAAAAAAUAAUAUGCAAGGUUGCACAUAUUAGAAAUAUUAUUUGAAAAUAAAUUUCUUUUUAUUUUCAAAAUUAAAUUUCAUGUAUAUAAAAGAUUAAAAAAUAUAGAUUAAUAAGAAAUACCUCCUAAAAAAUUAAAUGCAUAAUUAAAAUAUAAUUUUCAUUUCAAAUAAGCUUUCUAAAAGCAUAAAAGAGAGAAAGAAUAUUAAUCUAAAUAAAAAUAAAAAUAAAAAUAAAAAUAAGAUUAAUUUUUAAAAAAUAGAAACAAAAAACAAAAGAAAAUCUUUUUCCCUAAAGAGAAAAAAAGUUAAUAAUGUUGUCCAUAGUAAAACUUGAGGGGUGAACCUAGACCAUGAGCUCAACCAGGUUUAAUAUUUUUUUCCCUUGAAAUUUAAACAUAAAAAAAAUAAACAAUGUCAUCCACGGUAAAACAUAAAGGGAUGAAUAAUGCAGUUGCACGAUGUUCACCUCACAUAUUUUCCCUUUAAAUUUAUAGCAAAACCUUAAAAUAAAAUAACAAACUAGUGUCGUCCAAAAUAAAACAUGAGGGGGUGAGCAGUGUAUCUACAUAGUGUUCACCCCAUAUGCAUUGUCAAAAUCUAAUUUUUUACCCUUUUAUUUUAAUUUUUUUUUUAUUACCCAAAAAAAUGAUAGCAAAAAAAAAAAGAAAAAGAAAAAAUGAUGAUGGAAGAAAUAAAAUGAUGAAAUAAUUGAAGAAGGAAUCAAAAUUUGGGUUAAGGGCAAAAUGAUUUGAAGUUUUUGUGUUCACUUAAACUUUGGAUUGGUUUUAUUAAUCAAAUCAAGAGCUUAAUUAGAGAAUUGAUAAGUUUUGAGACUUAAUUGAGCUUGGAAUUAAUUUAAAUAAUGAAAUCAGGGACUUAAUUGAAGAAAUACCAAAGUCUGGGGUUAAUUGAGGGCACAAUUGCAAUAUAUUAAAGUCCAAGGUCUAAAUUGUAAAAGGCGCCGAAAUGCAGGGAUCCAGUUACAAUUUAACUAGGAGCUUAAUUACAAAACUGUAAAAAAUUCAAGGGCCAAAAUGCAAAUAGCCAUUAAACACUAAAAAACAGCUUUGUUUCCCACUACUGUUCAUCUUCCUCCCGACUAAAACGGACGCCCACCGCUGCUCCCACCAUUACACCUGCAAUUAACACACUUUAUGGCUGGAAGAAACGGCAUUGUUCUCUGGUUAUAAAAGACAACAAGGCUAACAAGGUGUCUGGGUGAUCUGGAAGCCAACAAGCCCUUACAAGAAGUGCACGGGGCAAUUUGUGCUACCCACGCAAAUAGACACAUGAUGGCUAGGCAAAUGCAUAAUUUUUAACACGCAAAUAGAGCAGGUUAUUUUUAGCUGACCAAGGAGAAAGAUUGCAUAAUUUUGUCCGAAGGUGCCACAAAUGUCAAGUGUAUAGUGACAAAGUCAAUACGCCUCCCGCACCCUUAUUCAACAUAGUGUCUCCUUGGCCCUUUGCAAUGUGGGGAAUAGAUGUGAUUGAGCCAGCCUAUUAAUUCAAAAGCCAGUAAUGUGUAUCGUGUUAUCCUUAUAGCGAUUGAUUACUUUACCAAAUAGGUAAAGGUCUUCUCAUAUGCCCAUGUGACUUAGAAAGUGGUCAAACGGUUCAUAGACAAAGAUAUAAUCUGUAGAUAUGGUGUACCCGAGAGAGUAGUGACUGAUAAUGCUCAAAACUUCAAUGGAAAGAUAAUAGCAGAGCUUAUGCUUGCUUAUUCAUGUGCACAUCAAUCGAGCUACUUUUAUUGUUUAUACAUGUAUUUUGACUUUUAGAAACUCAUGAGGAACUUCAAACAUUCCAUUUUGACUUCAUUCCUGCAAAGAAAGCUGAUAGUCUUCAGCAUACACUCAUCAUACUUAAUCCAUUGCAUAAUCAUAACUACUAAUUCUUCUAUAGGCAAGAAAUUUUCUGGAACUCAGACUACCCUGUAACAACAACCACAAAAACAUCUCAAUUUUUUAGGAGGAAAUAUACUUGCUAGAGUUAAGUAUCAAAAUUCUCAUAUCCUGGAUGCUGAAUAUCAUCAAUGAGAGCACAAGCUGAUUUAACAGUAAAAAUCUCAUUCUUCUCUCACUGCCACACCCUUAUCUCAGCUGAAUAAAAAAUAGAUAAAUUCCACUCUGCUUUAGGUUUUGAUGACUCCAAACGCAGACACUCCCUAUUCUCAGCUUCAUGCAUGACCCCACAUUUAGCAAUACAUGUCAAUGAACGCGUUUGCUAUGAUCACACUGAUUCGUUGUGUUUUGUAACGAUGAUGUAGUUUCAAUGGAUUCCCUGACCAAAUUCCAAGCAAUCCAAUUGCCACAAGCAGAGAGCACACGAACUAAUGUUCUCCAAUGGAACAAACGCAGCCUCCAGCAUGUUACAAACCAUUCUAAAGCUUCCUUUGGGUGGUUGCCCAGCAAUCCCAUGGCACUCCAGGAAACCACAUUCCUCUCCGGAAUCUCAUUAAACGACAUCCUUGCCAGCUCUAGCUCACCGCGUUUAGCAAACCCAUCAACCAUACUCGUCCAAGAAAGCACAUCUCUAACUCCCAUACUCGUCCAAGCAGCCACAUUUCACAUUCAUGGUGAUUUGCAUUUCUAGUUUUACAUAUUCGUGAAAACUCUUCCCUAUUCUCAAACCCCCCUUCUGCGAGCAAGCUGAACGAGCGGCUCUAAUUUAAUUCUUUAAAUUCUUUGCCGCUUCCUCUCAACGCUGUCGUUUAUGCUGUAUUUGAAUAAUUUCCCUCUUCUGUUGUCUUAAUCCCUAGCUUUGUUAAUUCCAUUCGUGACACAGUGUGAGAGGGGGCAAAAGGCAAAAGGCAAAGGCAAGACAAAGCUUGGGGGUAGAUUAGCCAGACUAUAAAGGAGAAGGACUUAUUUGUACUUGUUCCAAGAUUGUGAGUCAAAAUAAUACCGCUUCUUUUCCUUCAAACGCAAUCUCGUCCUACGUUCCAGGGAAUCUUUUUACCUAAUCUCUUAAUAUAUAUUUGAAUGGCAUCUUGGCUUAAGCUCCUUCAAUUAUUGCUUUCGAAUAUUCUCAUGGUAUUGCUCUUUGUUUUUGAGGAUCCAAUUAAUAAGCAAAUCAUGGAGACUUGGCUGUUGACCCUCAACACUCUCGUCUGCAUUGACUCCUUCAAUAUCUUGGAUGUGAACCAGGCUUGGAAUAUUGGGUGUUCUUGUUUUUGAUACAUGUAAAGAGGUAAGCUAAGCAUCUCUUUCAAGAUCUCUCUAGCUGCUGCAGGGAUGCCAAAUCGCUUUCUUUCUUCAAGUUCCUUAGCAGGAGUAUUGUAUAGCAACCAACUUUCUUUGGGUUUUGCUCCAGGUUUGGGCCAAUUUUGAUGCCUUCUGUGAAUCCCUCCAUCUGGGCUUAUCAAAAGAGGAGGAAAGAAGUAAGUUUCUCUUCUCAGUUUCAGUGUUUCAGUACGCCAUAACACCAUCUCCAGCUUCUUUCAGAAGAGCAGUUCGAAGCAUUCGCAGAGCAGAAAAUAGUUUGGCGGACAGGUUCUGUCAUGUUAAAAGUUCAAUAGAUGGUCAGGAAUCUCAUCAAUCAUGAUGAAUGAAGAGAACAAAAACCCAAGACAUAAGCAUACCAAGUCCACUUCAGAUUGAGGUUGGGCAGGACUACAAGCUUGUGGAGGACUUAACUUCCCAGACAUUAGAGAGCCUUUUGCUGGAGUAGCCUCGGAUUUGCCCUGUUUUGAAGCUUUUACAGAGGAAGGGAAUCUACAAGGAGCAUGAGAUACCAGAAUGAGCAUCCUACCUGUUCAUUUCAGCUAUGAAAAACAGAAAGGUUAAAUGAUGAUAGUUUGUCCAGAGGAUCAUAAUAUGUGAGGCUAAGCAAAGCACAAGGCUAAGCUUGCUGGCUUCAUCCAACUCUUGGUCUCCAUAAUUUAGUCAAAGCCACCCUCGCUAAUGCUAUAUGUAAAUUGUAAAUUUUAUAACCAGUCGCUCCAAAGUUAAACAUCUGGACCAACCAACACAAAACUUACUCGGGCCAGAUUUCUGACAGCUUCAUCUGAAUUUCUUUGCAAAAACAUGUGUUUUGCAUAGGUUUUGCCCAAUGAAAGGGUAUGGUUUAGACCGAACAAUCCAACCCAAAUGAACUAAGACCUUGUCGGUUCUAUUUUCUCUUAUGCUCAAUAUCCACAUGCUUCUUCAGAGAAUAAUCAAAAGAAGCAUACAUUUGGCACUUUUCUUAUGCUCAAUAUCCACAUGCAUUUGGCAAUAGAGCACUGGCAUAAGUCUAAUGAAACAUGUACUCAAAAGAAGCAUGCUGAAAGGCUGCACCUUAAAACAAUCCUUUGCCCGCCAGAGCAUAGUUUGUGUGCCUUGGAUUCAUUCACCUGAAAGAAAUUAAAAUGAUCAUUUAACAUGAGAAAUUAAACAAUGAGAAUGGUAGAGUCGCUCUCUCUAUCACACUGAGUUAAGCUCUAUAUAGAAUUUGAAAAACCACAAGCACCUUUAACACUGACGAUACAGAUCUGUAAAUGUCACUUUUCUUAACUAUUUUGCAUUGUAUGAACCCAUUCUGACAAUAUAUCAAACCAGAAAGCAUGAAACCAACUCUUAAGAUGCCCUAAGCUUCAAAUUUAUAAUUAGAAGGCAAUAUCAAUUGAUAUUUUUUGCUAGAAUACUGGUAAUGUAGAUGACACUCACUUAGCAACUUUCUCUGGCGUGACAUAUAACAACUUGUAUUUACAAUAAUCAGAACAAAGUUCCCUUAGGAUCUCCUGUUGUUCAGUCCACUCCAUGUUGGCACUCAGGUAAGCAGCAGGAAUUUUUGCCUAUAGCACAAACCAAUAGGUAAGAAAAAUGCAUGCCACUAAAUGAGCAGUUUGCAGUAACCAAAGGAAAAUAAAUGCUUGACUAAAUUAGUAAGAUAGCUAGCAUACCUGUAAAAGGUGCAUUAUUUGAUCUUGGAUCAGCGACACGAGUGGAGAAAUUACUAAGGUUAUUCCAGGACAAACUAGAGCAGGAAGCUGCGUGAAUCAUUAAAAAAAAAAAAAAAAGAGUGGGUCCAUUGUUAAAACUGUGAACCAAGAAAAAGUUUAAUUUCCCAGUAUCACCAAAAAUUCAAAGAUAAAGAAAAUUUAGCCAAGCUGGUAUUCUAGAAUCAAUUCAAAUGCAAAAUAUUGUCAGAGAUAUGACUCUGGAAGUUAAACAGAUUGUCACAAAUGGAAACAGCAAAAUAAUGGAAAUUAAAUGAAACUAAAGCUGUGUCUAACAGAAUUAGACUUUAUUAGAGCUGAAUGAUCACCUGAUAUGUCAGACUUUUUCCACCUCCUGUUGGCAUUAAAACAAAGACAUCAUACCCACUCAUUGUAGCAUUGAUUACCUCUCUUUGAUUGGGGCGAAACGAGUGAUUUCCAAACACUUUUUUGUUAUUGGCCUAGCAGCAAACCAAGCAAACAGUAAUAUAGUAUGUAAUGAAACUAGUGAUUGAUAAAAUUCUAAGAAAUGGGUAAAAAUCUAGAGCAAAAGAGCACCUCCAGCUUUUUUGUCCAUGGGAAAUUUGUGCUGCUCCACUUUGAGCCUUCGAUAUAAUUAACUUCAACAAAGCUUGGAAUGUAAGGUUCUCUCUCUAAAGGAACAGAAGAAACAUCAAAGCUAUCAAUGGAAGAGAAUGAAACUGAGGGUGCAUUCCACUUUUCAUAUCCAUUCAGGUCAUUUCGUAGAUGAACCUGGGCAUCAAAUCUCAUGGGAUCUAUUUUGCAUGCAGCAGAUUGAGGUGUUUCAUACUGCAAAUUUCGAACCAAUGUGGAUGCAGAACAAUGUGACUUCUGUCUUUCCUUAUCACGAAGAUAUUUUUCAAGUUGCUGAAUUUGCUUAUUGAGCUGUGACCUAUUUAUGAAAACAGAAAUAGACAUGCAUAAGAGAGCAAAUCUAACAAUCAUUCGAGCUUAUCUCCCAAGAAAAGGAGCUGAGAGUGUUUUACAAAAUGCAAAAAGACAAUGGAGCAUAUUUUUCAUGUCUAUCAUACUAUAUUUCCUUCCAUGUAAUCCCAGAAUUCCUCUGCCAUACUCUAUUUCUAUUCUUCCUGUGAACUUUGGUUCACCUAUUGUGGCUCCAUUGAACCAAAAAAACCCAUGCAUCAAAAGGUAGUAUGAUAUCAUGGGAGAAGAAAAAGGAGAAGAAGCACAACCUAUCUUGGCGAAGCUUAUCUAUUUGCGCUUGACUCAGUUCAGCAGCAUUGUCAAGCAGAUCAUUUGAUACUGCAAUCAGCAUAUCCUUCAUUUCUUGUAAAUGUUUGGCAGCUUCUGGGCAAAGUCCUAGCUGUAAUGAUUUAAGAAUCAGGCAGAUCAAGAUGAGAAUAGAAUAGAACAGUGCAAAUAUAGUGCCCAAACCUUGAAUCCAUGACUGCAGUUUGAACACAACUCAGGUGGCACAGAAAUCUCCUCUGGCCUUGUAAAACUAUUUUGAUCUGCAGUUGGAGUUAUGAGCGGAAACUUAGAAAUUGCUGGUUGCGGUGUGCAAGUAGCUUGGUAGUGCUCCAUAACAAUUUGGUCCACAUCUAUACUCUGCCACCAAGCUAACAUGUGCAAGGAGCAUGAGAUACCAGAAUGAGCAUCCUACCUGUUCAUUUCAGCUAUGAAAAACAUCGAUGUUUGUUUCAUAGCAUCAUCACCAAUGUAUUAGCUCCCAUGAUUUAAAGAACUAUAUAUAUGUUAAAUCUAUUUCUUUUUUAUUCAUUUCGAUUUAUUUAUCCAUCAAAUCAAUGGAAAUCUUCAUUUUCAGACACUUGAAAAGCGCACAAAAUAGAAAAAAUUAAAAUUAAAAACCAACAAAAUUGAAAAACCUGGAAAUGUAAAAACUUGAAGAAAUAAAAAAAAAAAUUAUUGGAAAAGUAAGGUCAUUACAUAUAUACUAUAUAACUCAUACUAUUAGAGACAGAAUCUGAUCACAUAUAAUUAAUUAAAUCCAUUAUUGCUGAGAAUUACAUGCACGUAAUACAUAUUGAAGAAACUAAGAACAGCAACAUAUUUAUUUAAUUAGACUGAUGCUAAGAACAUCGAUUAUCACUACAAACAGUACUCAAACAUAAACAGAUUGACGCUCCAUGCAAAUAAUAGCUAGUUAGCUCUUGUCACUUCAACCCAAACCUCCUCACCAAACAGCAUGAAACUACUCCUCCUCUUAGCUUCAACCCUGAACUGUGACCCCAGGUUCUGGUCAUCCUCACGAUGAAGAACAACCAUGUCACCAACUCUCAGUCCAUAAUCAGCAACAAAUUGAAGCCAGCCCAUAGAAAGCACUGGAUUUUCACCAUUUCUCUUCAGGCAACGAAUGACUCGAAGCUCACCAUAGCAAUCUCUAACAUUCAAAUCAACAUAAUUAUUUCCAGCAAAAUCUAAAUGCUCUAAGCAAUGAGUUGGGAACGAGAACCGCACACGAACAUCAGUAUCAGUUAACACUUUGCUGAAGAUCUGCAUUUUUUUCUCAAGGGUCGUAAAAAGAGAGAGAAAUGGUUAUGUUUAAGCUAUCUACCGGAUUGAUACACUUGCUCAAGAUAUUGUUAAUUAGUGGAGACAAAGUGGAGACAAACAAUGUCCCACCAUAUUGCAAGUGGAAAUAUCUAACAUGGUGGAGAUGGUGGGCAUAAAUCAUGGUAUAUAUGUAUGCUCAGUAAAGAGUUCGACUGAUUUGAAAUGCUCGGUGUCUGUGUUGUGUGCAUGUAGCCCAAAGAAUAAAUAGUGUUUGUGUCAUCGACCGAGAGCGUCAGCACUGUGGGCGUGCAAUGACGUUUCUACUCGGAGGAGGCUAUGUGAUUUCUUUUUGACAGGCAGCGGUUUAUUUUCUUUAUUCUUUAUUAUUUUUUCCCAAAGGGUUCCUAUUAAGAUAGAAAGGACACAUGGUUCAGACAAAAAAAAAAAACAUAUUUAUCUUGUAAUCAUAUUUAUUUUUAUAUUUUAUAUUUAUCUCUCUAACCCGAAACAUGUUUGUUCUUUUUAUAUUUAUAUUUGUACUUUCUAUUUUAAAACAAUAAUCAGUGCAUUAAUUAGACAGACAAUUACUAUCCAAUCACAAUUAGUUUCACAAUUUACACGGCUGAAUCUUGAAACACCAGCCCAGUUAUUGGCCAUCUUAAGCUUCAAACGCAACUGCUGAAACCUUCUAGCUCACUCUUGACUUCCAUCUGGAAGUGCUUCGCCGUUAAUGCCAUGAUAUCCUCUUGUAUAUUUUACAUUGCUAUUUUUUUUUUUAAUAGUGGUCUUCAUUGAAAAUUAUUAUUAUUUUUUAAUUUAUCAUUUGACAUUUGAUUAUUAAACCCUUAACUUUAUUAGUUUACAUUUUUUUUAUUGAGUUAUCUCGAUCUCAUAUUUCGACUAAGAGGUUAGUCAAGUUAACCAUGAUUGCCUCAUUUUUUUUCCUUUGAUUUUUUUAUAAAAUUGAAUUUUUUAAAACAAUUUCAUACUUUGGUGUUAAAUUAUUGGUCCUUGAGCUAAGUGAUUUUUUCAAUUUUUCAAUUUUUUUUUAAUUUUGGGUUAUUCCGAGUACAGGUUAAUCAAGUUAACCCGGGUUAGCUUGCAUUUUCUUACUCGAUGUCUUUUUAUUUGACUUUAGUCUUUUUGCUAGGUCCUUUUUUUGGAAGUUUAAUUUUUUUAAUCCUGAUCUCAUGUCGCGAGUGGUGAGUCAAUCGAGAUAACCCGAGUUGACUUGGUGUUCCCUAAUUUUUUUAUGACUUUGUUUUUAUUUUUUAAUUUAUCAUUUUGCAUUAACUUAUUUGCCCUAGGCUUUGUUAUUUUUUUGCUUCUCCUUCUAUUUCAUUAUUUCAAGAGUGGGUAGUUGAUCAAGUUCACUAGAGUCAACUUGCAUUUUUGUUCACAAUGUUUUUUUAUUUAACUUAGACAUUUUUUGCCUAGCCUUUUUUUGGAGAUCUAUUUUUUUUCCCAUCAAUAUCUCAUGGCGUGUAUGAUGGGUUAGUUAAGUUAACCUAGGUUGACUGAGAUUUUUUUCCCUUGAAUUUUUCUUAUGAUUUUUUUUUCAAUUUCAUCAUUUUACAUUAAAUUAUUUUCCCUUGAGCUUUUUUAUUUUUUCACUUUUCUUACUAUUUGGUUAUUCCGAUGGUGGGUUGGUAAGUUAACAAGGAUUGACUCUACUUUUUUUUUUUUGACAUUUUUUUCAUCAAACUUUGGUUUUUUUACUAGGUCAUCCUUUUGAAUUUUUUUUUUAUCCUAAAAUCAUAUCAUGGGUUGUUGGUUUGUCAAGUUUUCCGAGCUGACUCGGGUUUUCUUCUUUGGCGUUGUAUUUUUUGAAGCUUUUUUUUUCAUCUUUAACAUUAGGUUAUUAGGCCUUGAAGUUUCUAAAUUUCAUUUUUUUUCUUUUUAUUGGUUCUUUCGGUCUUAUAUCUUAGGCUGCGUUUUAGUUAAUUUAACCAGAUUCUCUCAUAUUAUCAUCGUUUGAAUAUCCUUUUUUUACUGUUGGAAAAAGUUUGGUCCGACCCUCGGUGUGGCACAGGCCACCUUCUUUCCAAUGAACAACACUUAAAUAGUAGCAUUCAAGGAGAGGAACAAUGAUUUCCCUCCAUUAAUUUUUGUUGAUAGACUAGAUCGUUGACCUGCUUUACGCCUCAGGUUAGAUCAAUUUUUUUUUAGCAUACAAAAGAAACAUCCAGACAUUGCUAAUAUUUUUCAAGUAAAUAUUUUUAAAACAGCGUGGAGGUUGAGCCGAGUAACCUGAUCGACCUGAUGGAUUUAAGUAACCCCAUACAACCUGUAAAAACGUUGUUUGAUUAACAAAAAUUCAUGACAAACAUCUUUUUUUUAAAAAAUAAUAUUAGAAUGACAACAUAUUGAAUCGAUUCAGGCUAACAUGGAUUAAUCUGUCAAAUCGACGACCUAGAUUAUAAGCCCACGAUAACCCUAUAAAAAAUAAUUCAAAACAAAUUACAAAACUCAAUUCCCAAUCAACUCAUUGUUGAAGAAUGUAAAUGAAAAUAAUUAAUUAAACAAUAACAAAAACAUAUCUAGGUUAACCUCCCAAUCCUGUGAUCUGGGUCAUGAUAUCAAGAUAACCUCAUGAAAAGUAGACAAAAAAAUUACUUGUUUAACCCAGAUUAAUAUGUCGAACCUGCGACCAAGGUCAUGAUAUUGUGAUAACCCCAUUAAAAGAAAAUCAAAAUAAAUUAUAAAGCCUAAUUUUUAAUGAACUAUUGUUAAAGGUUGAAAAUGAAAAAAAAUCAAUUUUGAAAAUAGAACACAGUGAAAAAACUUGAGUCUACCCGGGUUAACCCGCAAAACACGUGACCCGAGCAUAAGACUAUAUAACCUCAUAGAAAACAAAAUAAAAUAAAUCAGGAAGUCUAAUUCACAAUCAAACCAAUGCCGAAUCAUGAAAUAUAAAAAAUGCCAAUGAAAAAGUAAAAAAAAUAAUAAUCAAGUCAACAGAGUUAACUCACCAAACCCACGACUCGAGUCAUAAGGCUGAGAGAACCUCAUAAAAAAUAAAUCAAAAUAAAUCAUGAAACCUAAUUCUCAGUCAACUUGAUGUUGAAUAAUUAAAUUGAAAAACAAUGGUCAAUUAAAAAGAGUGAAAACAAACUCGAGUUAACCCGCCAAACCUUAAACACGGGUUAUAAGUCCAAGCUAACCAUAAUAAAUCAUGAAUCCUAAUCUCCAAUAAACUAAAUAUUAAAGUAUGAAAUUAGAAAAAAAAAAUUCAAGAUAAUCUCAUAGAAAGUAAAUAAAAAAAAAACCUAAGUCAACCUGAAUUAAUCUGUCAAACUCGCGACCAAGGUCAUGAGACUGUGAUAACCCUGUUAAAAACAAAUAAUUUUUUUUUUAUGAAGCUUAAUUUUUAAUAAGCUCAUUGUUAAAGGUUGAAAAUGAAGAAAAUUAAAUUUAAAAAUAGGAUACAACAAAACAAUAUGAGUUUAUCCGGGUUAACCCACAAAACACGUGACCUGAGUAUAUGACCGAGAUAACCCCAUAGAAAACAAACCAAAAUAAUUCAUGAGACCUAAUUCAUAAUCAACUAAAUGCUGAAGGAUGAAAUAGAAAAAAAAUCAAAUAAAAAAAGUCAAUAAAAACUCGAGUUAAUUAGGUCAACCCGUCAAACCCGAGACUCAAGUAAUGAUAAUCUUAUAUAAAGCAAACUAAAAUAAAUCAUGAAACCUAAUUCCCAAUCAACCUAAUGUUGUAUGACGAAAUUGAAAAAAAAAUGUCAAUAAAAAAGGAUAAAUAAAACUAGAGUCAACCUGCCAAACCCGUGACUCGAGUUACAAGAUCGAAUUAACCAUGUAUAUAGCAAACCACAAUAAAUUAUAAAACCUAAUCUCCAAUAAACUAAAUAUUGAAGUAUAAAAUUCAAUAUAUAUAUAUAUAUAUAUAGAAAAAAAAAGGCAAAAAAAUGCUAUUGAAAUGAAUAGUAUUUUACAAGGUAGUGCACAAUAAAAGCACCAUCUCUUUUAGUUUAUAAUAGAUAUUUGACCCGCAUUUCACCGCUGGUUAGAAUUAUUUUUUUAACAAAAAAAUUUAUAUAUAGACUAUUUCAAUACUUUUUUGUAUUUAAAAAAAUUUCAAGUGAAAAUAAUAUAUAUAUAUAUAUAUACAUACACAUAAUCAAAACAAUUAAGAACUGUAUGUCUUAAUAAGUGAAAGAACAAAAACCAUAAAUGAUGACUAAAAAUUAAAACUGAAAAAAUUGAGAGACAAGUAUAAAUUAAGAUAUUAAAUUUUACAAGAUGUGACAUUUAAGCAGUUGUGCUUGCUAAAUUUGUUAAUUAAAAUAAUUAUUUUAUUCAAUCAAACGAUAAUAAAAUAGACACACACAUUAAAUUAUUUGAAUAAAAUAAAAGGUAAAAAAUAAUAUGCAAGGUUGCACAUAUUAGAAAUAUUAUUUGAAAAUAAAUUUCUUUUUAUUUUCAAAAUUAAAGUUCAUGUAUAUAAAAGAUUUAAAAAAUAUAGAUUAGUAAGAAAUAACUCCUAAAAAAUUAAAUGCAUAUUAAAUUAUAAUUGUUAUUUCAAAUAAGCUUUCAAAAAUGCAUAAAAGAGAGAAAGAAUAUUUAUUUAAAUAAAAAUAAAACUAAAAAUAAGAUUAAUUUAAAAAAAUAGAAACAAAAAGCAAAAGAAAAUAUUUUUUCCUAAACAAAAAAAAGUGAAAAAUGUCGUCUAUAGUAAAACUUGAGGGGGUGAACCCGGACCAUGAACUCAACUAGGUUUAAUAUUUUUUUCCCCUUAAAUUUAUUGCAAACAUAAAAAAAGUUAAUAAUGUCGUUCACAGUAAAACAUAAAGAGGUGAACAAUGCGGCAACACGAUGUUCAUCUCACACAUUUUCCCCUUAAAUUUAUAGCAAAACCUUAAAAAAAAAAAAAAAAAUAGUGUCGUCCACAAUAAACACAUGAGGGGGUGAGCAAUAUAUCUACACAGUGUUUACCCCAUACGCUUUAGUUUAUUUAGGGUAAACCCAGACCAUGAAUUCAACAGGGUUUAACAUUCCCCCUCUUAAAUUUAUAGCAAACUUAAAAAAAAAAAAAAAAAAACAAUAUCAUCUACAGUAAAACAUGAGGAAUGGUUUAGCUAAUGAGCACCUCUAAGUAACAGAGCAAUGAAUAAAAAGGUGAUCAAUGGUCUCAAUUUCCAUAUCACAAAAAUAACAACAACCAUCAUCAUAACUAAUAAUUCUUCUGUAGGCAAGAAAUCCCUUAACACUCAAACUACCCUGCAACAACAACCACAGAAACAUCUUAAUUUUAGGAGGAAAUAUACUUUGCCAGAGUAAAGUGCCAAAAUUCUGGUUUGCCGGCAAACGCUCCUGAUGGAGCAAGCAGUAACCAGCAGUGCAGACAUGGAAAGCGUUCUGUUAGAGUUCAGCAAUAAACUGUCGGAAGUCCUGGACCGUGUUGAUGAUGCGGGUAUUGAAGAAAUAGUUGAAGUAGUUGGUGGGUUGUUGCAAGUUGAUAACAAGGUAGUUGAUGAGGAGAAGCUUAAGCCAAGAAAGAUAGUCAUGUCUAGGAUGUUAGCAAAGAGCUUGCAGGCUGGGGAUCCGAUUUUUGAAAAAGUUUCCCGUGCUGUCUAUUUGGCUCUAAGAGGAAUUGUGCUCGGGGGCAGUGGACCCCGGGGAAGAAAAUUAGUAGAAAUGGCACUCAAGCAGAUUGGAGCUGUCAUGCUGACUAAAAGAGUGGUGGCAGCUGCUGAAGUAUUAGUGGUGGCAGCCACCGUAUCCACUGGCAUUCACAGGCCAUGGUAUGUAAAUCUGACCGAUAACCUGUGAUAUAUUUGUGCGUGCCGUAAGAAGAGAAUAAAUAAAUACAUGCGCACUGUACAGAGAAAUGCGUGUAAAGCUUAUGAUUAAUUGCAGUCGUAGAUGCCUGUAGAUGGUUGUAAUUUGAGAAUUCUUUGAUUUAAUGGGAACAAGAAGCUGUAAAUAGUAUUUAAGAUGAUAUCAAAGAUCUGCAUGGGAAAGGUAUGCUUAGGAUGUCGUCCCUGUAUAUGGAUGUAUUUGCUUGUAAGAAAACGCUGUCCUACUGCAACUAUUUUUCAAGAUAGUUCGUUGCUCCGGUGAACCUGUCACCGGCCACCAGCUUCAGCCCUAAUCAAAGGCUAAUUAGUAAUGAAGUCUGUCCAGACCUAUGGUUAGGUUCUGUUCACAUCUCUUAAAAUUAAGGUUUUUUUAAUUUGAUGAUAAAGAAUAUCAAUAUAUAAACAAUUUCUUUUCAUGUUUUGAAAAUAUUCUCGACCUUCAGCAACUAAUUAAGCCACCGUGACAAGCUGACAAGACAUCCACAAAUGUAGUUUCAUCUGGCUUACACCCGCCACUUUUCAUUUGCUCAAAAAUAAUCAGAGCUUGCUUAGCGUGCCCUGUCAAUAUCUGUAACUUUAGGUUGUAAUUUUUUUUAUAUAUAUAUAGUAGACGAGGGAGAAUAUUAUUAAGAUUUAACCAACAAAAAACGCUAAUUUUGAGCAUUAAACAAUAUUAAUAUUUAUAUAAGUAUAAUUUUAAAAUCUAAUACGAAGCCAUUGAACUAAACUAUAUAAAAUUAAAUCAUAAAUUCUCAAAUCCUGAAUAUCAUCAAUGAGAGUACCCUUCUCUCAGCUGAAUAAAAAAUAGAUAAAUUCCUCUCUGCUUCAGGUUUUGAUGACUCCAAACGCUGACACUCCCUAUUUUCAGCUUCAUGUAUGACCCCACAUUUAGCAAUACAUGUCAAUGAACGCGUUUGCUAUGAUCACACUGAUUCGUUGUGUUUUGUAACGAUGAUGUAGUUUCAAUGGAUUCACUGACCAAAUUCCAAGCAAUCCGAUUGACCACAAGCAUAGAGCACACGAAAUAAAAAUAAAAAACCAACAAAAUUGAAAAACCUGGAAAUCAAGCCAGAGCAAGGGAUAGAUAUGAAAUGUUAAAAACUUGAGAAUUACAUGCACGUAAUACAUAUUCAAGAAACCAAGAACAGCAACAUAUUUAUUUAAUUAGACUGAUGCUAAGAACAUCGAUUAUCACUACAAACAGUACUCAAACAUAAACAGAUUGACGCUCCAUGCAAAUAAUAGCUAGUUAGCUCUUGUCACUUCAACCCAAACCUCCUCACCAAACAGCUUGAAACUCCUCCUCUUAGCUUCAAUCCUGAACUGUGACCCCAGGUUCUGGUCAUCCUCACGAUGAAGAACAACCUUGUCACCAACUCUCAGUCCAUAAUGAGCAACAAAAUCACGCCAGCCCAUAGAAAGCUCUGGCUUGUCAUAUCCUCCAUUUUCUCUUCCGGCAACGAAUAACUCGAAGCUCACCACAGCUAUCUUUAACAUGCAAAUCAACAUAUUUAUUUCCAGCAAAAUCUAAAUACUGCAAGCAAUGAGUUGGGAACGAGAAACGAUGAUGAACAUCAGUAUCUGUCAACACUUUGCUGAAGAUCUGCAUUUUUUUCUCAAGGGUCGUAAAAAGAGAGAGAAAUGGUUAUGUUUAAGCUAUCUGCUGGAUUGAUAUGGUUUCUUGCAGGGAGCUAUCUGUUGAUUUAUAAUAAAAACUAGCUAGCUACUGUAUUCACGGUAGAAAGACAUCGAGCGAGAGAUUUCGGAAAUCUUGUUCAUUUGAUCGAUUUCGCAUGGCGUUAUUUAAAUCUUGGUGGAUUAUUUGUAGAUAUAACAAGAGAAACGCAGGCUUAUCAAAGACUAGAAUGAGCCAGGAGGCACGCUCGUAUUGCCUCUCGCGCACCUCGUUCGUUCUAGCUUGCUAAAAGCAAACACUUGCUCAAGAUCUUGCAUGCUUGGACUUGGACACUGGACACUGGCCAAGGACCCAUUUAAUAAAAAACUACAAGAAUAAAUAAGGUUUAUUUUUCAAUUAUAUUUUAUGAAAUGAAAAUUGUCCUCUUAUUAGACAUACAUGAAUAAUAAUAAAAUAUAUUUCUUAAAAAUUAUAUUUUAAAAGGUUUCAUUUAUAAUUUUAUCUAGGUUCCCUAUUUAUUAUAAGUCAUACGUCGGUUCUGGGUCAUGGUCAUGAACUUGGGAUAAUGUCCCCUCUUAGGAGAUGAGGCUUUCACUCCUCACUUUACUUAUCUAGGAUCAGUAUAAUAUUGAGCAUUAACAAAAAAAAUAAAAUUAAUUACAUGUUUAUGGAGUUAUUAAUCAUGCUCAAUAACUUAAAUAUGAAAACGGAGAUUUAUAUAAUACAUUGCAUAAGAUUUGUUAUCAGUUAAUUGUAUUUUACCAUUAUUAUUGGCUCUUGUGAUUUUAGAUAAAGCUGGUUCUUGAUCUUGCAGGCAUGCGUUUUCUUGAUAUUUCUGCGAGGUUUUUGUUCGAAUAAGCAACAAGGGUUGAAGGGCAAAUCCUUCCAUGCGUGUCCAAAAUUCGAAGUCAUUUUCAAUUCAAGGUCCACGAUAUAUUUUUUAUAAUAUAAUAAUGCUAGAAUUACUCUCGAUCUCCUCAGCAUGCAUCGAGUAAUCGCGUUUGGAUUUCGAGUUCGAGUGAUUUGAAAUGCUCGGUGUCUGUGUUGUGUGCAUGUAGCCCAAAGAAUAAAUAGUGUUUGUGUCAUCGACCGAGAGCGUCAGCACUGUGGGCGUGCAAUGACGUUUCUACUCGGAGGAGGCUAUGUGCUUUCUUUUUGACAGGCAGCUUCAUUUUUGUACUUAAGCAUUGCCCUUUACAAAUACAAUUUUAUGUGCUUGAAAUUCGAGCCUUCAUUUUGCCGCAACCAACUUUCUUCUUCGCGCUUUUCAAAGCCGCAAUAAUAGACUUAAAUCGGCGUGUCAUUAGAAACGUUGCCUCAUUGGCAUGUCAUUAGAAAUGUUCUUCGUGCGGAUCACCAAAAGUUAAUUGUUUUUAUAGUGAAAGUGGAUGGUUCUUCGCCUCUCUUAUUUUUUUUAAGUUCUAUUUUAAUUUUCUUUUACCAACAAAAGUUAAUUGCCGGUUGAUUAAAACAAUAUAGUGAUAUGCACCCCCGGGGAGCGAGCAAGCUGAACAAGCUGCAAGCAGCGACCUCAUUUUUUCAUGUUACCCUAUUAGACCAAGCUAGAGUGUUUUUAAGGAUUUAUUAUUUAAAGAUAUUAUUUUCUUUGGUUUUGAAUAAUUAUUUAAAAGUUAGGUUGUCGUAAAUCACAAGUCAUCCAAUUGUCAAAUUUCCAACGAUAAUCUACACAAAUCAUCAGUGAAAAAUCUCUUAAAUCCCUAUUAGAAGAGAGGAAUUUCUAAAAUCCUAGUGAACAGUUCCAAUGCUUUUUGAAAAAUACCGACGAAAUGUUUCGUUAGUCAUUCCCUUUAUAAUUGACAUGAUGAACAAUGUUAGGCAGAAGUGAAUACUUUACCAAUGAUUUUACCAAAGAAUUUUACUGACGGAAUUAAUUUUGUCGGUAAUUCUAUCGGUAUAAAUGACAUGUUAUUGUUUUUUUUGCUUUGUUUUAAUUCUUUUUUUUUUUCCCAUCGUAAUUCUCUUGGUAGAUACCGAGGGAAUAUUUCCGUCGGUAAAAUUUACUGUAAUUUUUCGACAGAAAUAUUUUGUCAGUAUUUUCAUUUGUAUUUAUCAAUUUUCUGGUAGUGCUACACCAUAAUUAAUAAUGUGUAAAACAACAUUGUAUAUGUCACUUGCUGAAAAUCUAGCAAGUGAUAUAUUUCAUCAUUUUAUGGACCUAAAAAUCAUACUCAUUUGCGUCAAGAGGUAUGAGAGUCGCCACCUAAUUGUUUGGUUUAGAGUCACUAGGAAACCUGAGUAUACUGGUCUUAUCAGAAAUUCUAAGGGUAAGCAACUGGUUGUGGCUAGAGAAGGUAUUGACACCCCUGGUAUAAAGAGGAUGGUAAAAGGGUAUUUUUAAAUUAAAAUAAAGCAUAUGGUCAUAGCAUAAAAGGGGAGGGGUAAAGGGGUAAAAUACCCUAAAACCAUCUCUAUAUCCCACUUUUCUUCUAUGUCGUCGGUAAGGCACCUUGCCCUUGCUGCCGGCGUGCUUUCCAGUGAUAGCCAAGGCUACCGUUUCACCAAGCAACAACAACCAAGGUCAUAGUUGCCUACAUCCACGCGAGGCCCAAUACUGCCAACAACAUCUAGCAUGCCUGUCACUGCCACCCACAACAACGUGAGACAUUGCUACACAUACUUGUUUUGUAAAAAAAUCUGAUUUCAAAAAAUCAUGAGAAAAAUUAACUUUCUAGAAAAAAUAUCUUUAUUUCACACAUAAAAUUAAUUUCUAAUUAACACUAAUAAAAAUUAAAACAUGCAUUCAAACAAUCCUAAUUUAUCUAACAAAGGCUCUAGUACCACCAUUGGAUUUCCAUAAUGGCAUACACACAGUAGAAACAAAAAUAAAAUAAAAUUUGAGAGUCCAUAGGAUAUUCCUGUUAGACAAAUUUAGAGUUGUUUAGGGAUUUAUUACUUGAAGAUCUGAACUUCUUCGACUUUGAAUAAUUUUUUAAAGGUUGGGUUGUCGCAAACUACAAUCCAUUUAAUUUUCCAGCUUUCAACGGUAAUCCACACAAACUAUUAGUGAAAAAUCUCUUAAAUCACUAUUUAAGAGAGGGGAAUUUCUAUGCUUAGAGUACCAGCUAUUUAUUUUGUGACUUGUAUAGUUUUUUUAUCUAACAAAUAAUAACAAAAAUAAGAGGCAUAUGUUACUAUUUAUAGAAAAAUCUAAAAAUCCCUAUAAAUUGAAAAACAUUUCAAUUUGCCCCUUGAAUAAUAUCCACAUUCCACAUAUUACGAUUCUCUCUAUGGAUUUGUGUCUUUCAUCUAUUAAAGGAACAUUCGUUUUUGCUGCCUAUCUGAACUUUUUUAAAAAAAUUAUUUUUUUAUUUUAAAAUAUUUUUUGUGUUUUUAAAUUGUUUUUAUGUGUGAAUAUUAAAAUUAAUUUUUUUAAAAAAAUAAAAUAAAAAUUAUUUUAAUAUAUUUUCAAAUAAAAAACACUUUAAAAAAUAAUUUUUACCAUAAUAUCAAACACAACUUGAAUUUUAAGAAAAAUAAAAAGAUUUAUACAAGGAAUGUGUAAUAGCAAGAUUCAAACACUAAUCAAUAAACUCAACCAUAUAUAUUUAUUAAACAAAAAUGCAAAACUACUCACAAAUUAUUAUUAUUAGCUAGAUUAUCUCCUUUCACAAAUUAUUAUUAUUAAAACGGACAUGUCUUGAGCCUCAUAUAUUGAACUCAUGCGAUUCAAAAGCCCAAAAUCAUCUACACAUCCAAGACUACAACUUUUAUAAAAGGUGUCAGGUCAGAUAAAUUCAUUUUGAAGAUAAAACUCCAAACGCAAGUUGAAAGACGAGAUUAGUCUCCUGAUUUGAUGACAAAACUAACAGUAGGGAGUUGUAUCUUGAGAAGGAAUAUGAGGGGAUUAGAAGGAUUGUUUUCUACAUCCUUUAAACUUCAUAUCUUUAGCCUUGAUCUUAUCAUGAAAUCUACAUACUAAGAUACAAAAAUAGGGAAAGACCAAUUAGGCAGUUGGGUUCUAUUUUGCUACUGGGAUUUGGAGAGAGAUUAUCUUGAAUGCUGGAAUUUUCAGAGAUCAUGAGCAACUAGUUCCUAAUUUCGGUUCAAUGAGAAUAUACUCCAUCUCCAUUAGCAAGUUGUGAGAAGUAACAUUAUCAUUGUAAUUCUUUCAUAUUCAAGUAUUUAGUUUUUCUUGUUCAGAAUUGUUGGUACCCAAUUUUUGACCCACCUUUUUGCUAAACUUUUUGAAAAAUCCAAAAAUAGCGAAAAACAACAAAAAUCCAAAAAAUAUGUUUUUAAUAUAUUUGCAUCGUUUUUAGCAUUUUCAAUGUCGUUUAAAAAAAAAAUUUAUUUUCAAAAGUCUUUCGAACGCGUUCAACGUUUUACACGUUAUUUUUAAAAAUCAUUGCUUUUCCUCGUUGAGUCGAAUUUGAUAUUGCUCGUUUUUAAAAAAUACAAAAAAAAUAAGAAAAAUCAAAUUUACAAGAAAAAAAAUGUUGAGAGACCAAUUUUGAGGCCUAAGCAACAUUUUGUCUAUAAAUAGGAGUUUCCACAACUCACACAAACGAGGGGGGCAAUCUUGGACCAAAAUUAGAAGAGGCAACACAAAAAAACCCUAAACAACCUAACCCUACCAGCUCCCACUCUAAGGGAGCGGUCGUUCUCCCUCUUGAAACAAAAAGGAGCCGCAGCCCCCAGCAGUUGAUUGGAUUUUUUUUUUUAGAAAACAAAGUUGUCGUCCCCCGGGUUUCUUGGUGGUUGCUCUCCCAGUACAGAGCCAAGGACCCCCAACCAUUUCAGCUCUUCGUCUGCUCCCCUGCACCUGAAGCAACCCCAUUCCCACAAAUCUUCCCUUCUCAAUCGUUCCCUCACCCUAGACAACCCCCAACAACGGCCACCAACCCUCUCUCUUUCCCUGCACCAAGACCGUCCCCAUCACCCCUCACUAGGCUUGCCUCCAUUUUCCCCUCUCAGUCGUUCUUUCCUCAGCCAACAGGCGAUACCCACAUAACCCCAUAAACCAGCACCCCACUUCCCAUCGCCUCUCCUUUUCCCCCGAUCUUCUCCUUCAGCUCCUCACCAGACUCACGAACUAGCCAAGACCACCCCCUCACUCUCCUCUCAGCCGGCCUUCGCCGUCAGCAGCAGCAUCCCUCACGAACCUAGAUCAGCCCGCUGCUCCUUCCUCCUCUGCUCUUUCAGCCCCUUCCAUCUCUGCUAAAUAGAGACCCAACUCUUGCCGACUAGCCUUCUACUACAGAGGAGACUGCAACAUCGUCUGUAGACCGGGCAAAAACCCAAAGGGCAACAGCCUUAUGGUCACACAACCGACCGCCUGAAACAGAGAACAAGGGGAAACGAAAAAGAACAUAUCUAUAGGAAGCAAAUCUAAAAACAAAUCGAGAAAGAAAGGGGACAAAGCUUGUUGUUGCGUUUUGUUCUUUUUGUAAGCGGCGGUGACUGUAACAACCCUGAUUUUUUUACAUUCUUUUUCACAAUAUAUUGGAAAAUUUCAGGUAAUUUUUUUUUUAUACAAGUUUCACCAAAAUUUUUGCAAAGUCUCCCCUAUACCGGUAGGUCCCAAGUUAUUGACAUAUACCCUGUUUACACUUCUAAUAACUCACAUCUCAUAACUUAAAAUCACGACCCAAUCAUCCUGGGCCUUAACCCAACUCAUUCUCAUCAACACAACACAUCUUAUUCAAUAACAUCAUUUAAUACAGUUCAAAUAAAAGAUUCAAUUUCAACUCUAAACAUACAUGGUCAAAAAGGUACUAAGAGUUUCAACCAUUAGAUUAAAGACAUACAUUCAAAUUUACGGAUUUAUAUUACAUCUCAAGUUUUAGGAGAUAAGUCUUUUACUUUACAAUUAAUUUACAUGGUCAAAAGCAAAAGAUAACUAAACUAGUAUUACCCCUGAUGCGACCCUAGUGGACCUGAAAAUAGAAAUUAACAUGUACACAUAAAUAUAAAAGAUAGUAACAAGCAAUAACAAUGGCAGACAAUAAUCUCUACGGAAUUUCUUUUUAUAUAUAAAAUUAGGCAUAAACCUCUUUUACAACAUAUAUUUUCCAUCUAUUACCAAUAUCCAUCUAAUAUCCUAUCUCAUUUGCCAAGAAUAAUUCCAUCUUGGAAAUCUCAACACAACUCAACGGUUUGCGAACACCAUCUCCUUAUAAAUCAAUUUUCACUUGAUACCAAGAUAUUCCUCUCUUGAUAUCAUUAGCUUAUCUCAUUCUUUUGGAAUAAUUAAUCAAUAAUUUUUUUUUCCUUUUCUAAAUCUGUUGCUAGAAGGUAAUCGCUGAAACUAAUAAAUCCCAUUAAUAUCAUUAGUCUUCUAAUAUUGGGCUAGACUAAUCAAUUUAAAAUAUACCAGCACCGAUGAAACCUCUUCGAUACCAUUAGCAAUCCAAACCUGGUAGCUAAUCCAUGCCAUUUGAUUCUUCCAUUCGUAUCGAAUCCCUUUCAUUUUCUUAUUAACAUCAUAUGCAUUGUAACCACGGUUGCCAAGUAUCAUUUGCACACAAUCUUAGUUAUCGACACUACGGUCACUAAGCAUCCUUCACAUAACCUUGGUCACCCUCAUUACAGUGCCAAGUAUCAAUUUAUGCCCUUAGCCACCAUCAUUAUGGUGUUAAGUAUCAAUGUAAUGUAUCCUUAGCCACCAACACUAUGGUAAUUAAUUAUCUAUCAAUUCCCCUCCAAUCUCCAAAUCAUUGUGUCUACCCAAUAACCACAUUAAUUAAUUUACUCAAAAUCUUAGUCAUAUAUUAAUUAUUUUACUCAUAACAUUUAGAAUUUACUACUUCUAACUUCAAUCAAUUAAUUCACAUAAUCUUUUCAAAACUUAACUAUUUGGCUAACUCAUCUCAAUUGCCAAUAAUUCUGGUAAUUUCAUAUAAUUACCCACAUAUUUGGUUAACCUUCCUUGGUUACCAGUACAUCUGGUAAUUCCAUACGAAUUACCCAGCCUCCAGUUAUACAUUCAGUACAUUGAUUCAUACAAAAUACAUUAUGAUUUAGAAUGCAUCUACAUGAUUCCUUGCAAAAGUAGGUUCCCGUGUAUCGGGUUUCCUAGACAUCUCGUUGGUGUGAUGUCCCUGCAGCAGUACAAAACAUUUAAGAGAAUGCAAAUACUUAAGAAUACUAAUAAUGGUAACUAACGGUCUGGCAGUUAAAUGAAGCAUUAACAUUUAUAAUAUCGUCAUGUACUUGGUAUAAACAGCUAGUAGUACAUAUAGAUGCACCAAUUUUAUUUUAUUUAUUUUGCAAUCAACCAUAAUCUUAAACCCGGCUAUCCUCUUAAGGCAUUAUUUGCUGAGGUUAACCGUUCACUCACCCCGAUCAUCCACUUCGGAUGCCAUUAGCCAAGCUAAUCAAUCGUUCGUCCCGGUCAUCCUUUCGGAUGCCAUUAGCCGAAGCUAAUCAAUCGUUCGUCUCGGUCAUCCUUUCGGAUGCCAUUAGCUGAAGCUAAUCAUUCAUGUGUCCCGGUCAUCCAUCCGGAUGCCAUUAGCCGAAGCUAAUCAAUCGUCCUCGGCAUCCUUUCGGAUGCCAUUAGCCGAAGCUAAUCAAUCGUCGUCCCGCCAUCUUUCGGAUGCCAUUAGCCGAAGCUAAUCAUUCGUUCGUCCCGGCCAUCCUUUCGGAUGCCAUUAGCCGAAGCUAAUCAAUCGUUCGUCCCGGUCAUCCUUUCGGAUGCCAUUAGCCGAAGUUAAUCAUUCAUUUGUCCUGGUCAUCCAUCUGGAUGCCAUUAGCCGAAGCUAAUCAAUCGUUCAUCCCGGCCAUCUUUUCGGAUGCCAUUAGCUAAAACUAAUCAAUCGUUCGUCCUAGUCAUCCUUUCGGAUGUCAUUAGCCGAAGCUAAUCAUUCAUUUGUAGAGUUAAUCAACCUUUAGUCAACAUUUAAGCGUUCAACAAUCUAAUAUCGGUUCUAACAAUAUGGUAAUAAUCAUGUUAAAGUAUUUCAAUAUUCAACGUAUGAAAAAAGAAAGGUGCAAGUCACCUACCUAGAAUAGGUGCACGUGCUGCCACUCCAUGCAAUUGUCCAAUCCCCACAGCUUUCCCUGUACCACCAGGGAUUCAAUUUUUAUCAACAAUACAACCAACAUCACAUCUUCAUUUAAUUCUCAUUCAACUAGUAUUCUCAAACCAAUCACAAGGAAUUUUCUUUAAGAUCUCAUACUCUUACUCAUUUUCAUGUUUAUAUUCAUUCUUAUUAUUUUGUUAUCAAAAGCAUCACUCAACAACAAAUUCCAAGCAAAGAUUAAACCAAAAAUAAGGAAACUCAUUCCUUUUGGGAUUUCUCCUAAUAUUAUUAUUAAUACAACAAAAUGAUGAACUAUUCAUUUUCUUUCGCUCUCUCCUCGUGCGAUUAAACAUAUGCAGCAAACCUUAACAAUUAAUAUUCUUAGAUCACUAUCACAACAACAAUUUCACCCUACUAGUUGGAAUCCAUGACAAUCUUCAUUAACUAAUCAAUUUGCCAAAAAUACUUAUGGCUAGCUUUAAAUACGUUUUAUUUUCUAUAUUUCUUUCAUUUUAAUUUCUUCAUGGUUCCACCCCAUUUAUAUCCACACAACCAACAAGUUAGCUUUGUAUUCAAUUAACAUGUUCAUAUAGCGAUGUUCCUUACUAUUCUUACACAAUAAUCAUACUUCACCUCAUAUAAAGAAUACACAAUUAAUCUAUAAUAAUACUAAUAACAAGAACAUAUUUCACCAUUACAUCUUCCAUAAAACCUACACCCACACAAUUCUAAUUUCAUCAAAACAUGUAUUUAAUCAAGCUUGCUACAUUUUGCCAAAACUAGUAAUAGAUUCAAAGGCAAUAAGUCAUCCAAUUCUGAUUAUUGCUCUAAACCCAACGGUCAGACUACAUAUCAUUGAGUUGUGCAUACUAUAUCUCAAACUCAUAAUGAUCCAACGGUUAGAUCUCCCUAGAUCUGUAUAAAACCGAUCUUACCUAAAAAUGGACGAGCUACUGUUCAACAUGCACGAAACCUUGCCGGAGAAUGGGUUUCCCAUCUCCACCGUUCAGAAUGAAGGAAACCUCUAGGCGCACCACAUAUCCAAAACUUAGCAUGAUCCAACGGUGGAAGAGAGAGAAAUCAGCCGGCGACCGAACUGCCCUGCAGGUGCAUUUCCUUUUUGUUUUUCAGGACAUUUCCGAUGAUGAUUUCUGUCAAAUGGAGUGUGUUCCUUCCAAUCCCUCCGGGCAGUUAGUAGAUAAGUGUAAUAAGAACCAUAUAUCCAAAACGUAGCUUGAUCCAAUGGUGUAAGAGAGAGAAAUCGGCCGGCGACCAAACUGCCCUGCAGGUGCAUUUCCUUUUUGUUUUUUCAGGACAUUGCCGAUGAUGAUUUCUGUCACAUGGAGUGUGUGCCUUCCAAUCCCUCCGGUAAGUCAGUAUAUAAGUGUAAUAAGAACAACAUAUCCAAAACUUAGCUUGAUCCAACGGUGGAGUCCUGAGAUAUGGCCACCGGAGUAUUAUUGGUUUUACUCCAAAAUCUGCAGCUCUCUCUAUCCGUUUUUCUCUUCUUUUUUCUCUUUUUUUUUUUUUUUAACUGAUGGCCUUUGCAGUUUUAUAGGCACCUUUUUUCCAUAAUUACAAUUUUGUCCCUCAUUCAUGCCUUUAUGUACUUUAUUUUAUUUUUCAUGUAAACUAUCUGAUUUAUUUCUGCUUAAAUCGUUAGUCUUUACCAAACUCCGAUUGGGAUGAGAUAUUUAACCAAGGUAUGAAAACAUAUUAAUAGAAUUCAUGCAAAAUUUCGUCUCGAUCCUAUAAUUAGAUUGACAAUUCUGCUUCCUAAUAUAAACUUGUUCAGUUCAUGACUUCUCAUAAACAAUCUAGAUUUUUCUUGUUCAAUCUUCACAAACAAAAAGCAUAUCAAUUAUCCUUCUAAACUUUUACGGUCAUUUUAUUAUUUUGAAAUGUAUUCCUUUUAGGAUUUCUACCUUUAUUUAUUUAUCGGGCUUAUUACCAUUUCAAAAUAACGUCACUGAUUUUUAAUCGAUGCUUGCACCUUCAGUCCUAUCCUUUUUCAUUGCACUAUCAUUUAGUAUAAUGCAUUCUUUAUUACCUCACUUAUUUCCUAAAAAAUAUUUUGUUAUUUUUCUCAUUAUUUUAUCCAUCAAAACACGUUACUAGUUUCUAUGUCCUUAUGAAUUCUAAACCAAAAUUCAUUUUGUAGAGGUCAUCACUUUCAUUAUAUAUCAUUAUUUAUCUAUUAUUUCAAAUCUUGGUUUUUCAUCACUCAUUGAAAUAUUACCACUUUCAGCCUUACGUUUACAUGAGGGUUUACACAUCUAUAUAUUUAAAUUAUAAAUUUCCAGGGUUUUCACAGUGACCCUCACCGACGGCGUAAGAAGGCAGAGAAGAAGAGGAUGUUCCCGAUCCACCGGUUUGGCAGCCUUCAUCGGUAGUGGUGCGUGAACUCACGUGUCGCCAGUGACGGAGGCGCGUGAAGGAGACGCGCCGCCACUGUUCCUGCAGUUGCAGAAGGCUUUCCUUGCCAUUUUUGGAGUUUUAGGGGCUAUUUUGUAAAUUUUAAAUUGUUUAAUGUGAUUUUUGCUUAGUUUUGAUUUUUUAUAAUUUGUAGUGUGGAUGUAACCAAAAAAAAAAAAGGAAAAGAAAAAAAAGAAAAAUAUAGUGAAAGUGAAUGUGUUGUUUGUAUUUUGUUUAUGAAUAUUUUUUUAUGAUAAAAUUGCAAAGAAUAAAGAAGAAUUUAAUAUUUUAAUUUGCUCACAGUUAAGGAUUAUGAGCUACACGUAAGUCGUAUUUCUAAUAUAUGAUGAAAGAAUAAAAUUUUUAAAACUUCUUUAUCGCAUCAAAGUCACGAAGCAGCUUACCUCAGGUAGGGUGCAUUAGGGAUGCUAAUCCAGUCCCUUACCCGCGAAUCUCUGACAAGACCAGUACAUCCAGGUUUCCUAAUAGCCCUCAAUUAAAUACUAGGUGGCGACUCCUAACGAAUCAAGCAAACGAGGAAGAAAAAUCACCAUCCGACACCGCGCGGGUGAUGUGCGACAAAAUAGCGACUCCGCUGAGGACGGUACUGUUUCUGACAAUAUUGGACUAAGCUUUGUGUAUUUGAUGUGUUUAAGUUUUUGCAAUUUUAUCUCUUUUUUAAUGUUUUUGUUUCUAUGCAUUUUAUAGAAUUGUCUCACGCAUCACCUAUUUUAAUUUUUGAAAGCACACACAAGCUUCUAGGUUAGGUGGAGAACUAGCGAUUUGCCUUAUGACUAUUGGUCAGGGUUCAGAUGGGUGAAACACUCAACUUAUAUUUGAGUGUCUACUUGGUAAUGGUGGGUAUACGUGCCUUAACCAUUUCUCGCAAUGCCCCUAUAUUGUCUUUACGAAGAUCAUCACUGGGCAUAUAUCAGACCCUUUUGAAACCAAGUAGAAAACCUACCCAUGUUCACAUAAUGAAUAGAACUUGUCCUUAGGUUGUAUGUGCUAUCAUUAUUUGCAUAAGGGCAAACCCUUCUUGAAACAUCUUGAACUCAAGACUUGUGGGUGACACAAUGACCGUCACUCAAAAAAUUUUCAUUAUAGAGUUUGGGCAAGAAUCAAGAUUCUUAUUUCAUCAUGCAAGAGUUACGAUCAUAUGUCACCCCUCGAAGGGCGAAUUCAUCAUAUAGAUUACUUGUCAUACAUUUUUCAUGCAUGCACUGGGAUGAAAAGUAGGUCCCCUACGAGUCUACAACACUUGACUUUGAGUGAAAAACACAGAAGAUGAACAUUGUGCUCGUCGUAACAUCAAUUUUCAAGAAGAGUUGGAGUCUCUGAAGAAAAGCUUGACUCACCUCUAGCUUACUCGAGCAAAUACUGAAAAAUAACUCUGGGGAAGUUCCUUCCAACUGACAUAUCAUCUUUGUUCAAAAUCCAAUAGCGACUCAGCUUGAAGAAAUUUGGGGGAAACAUGGUCAAGAGCCUCAAUACAAUCCAGCAUUUCUGCAAAAGCUUUUGUAAGAAGGAUGACCAAAUGGGAAUUGCACCACCAUUGUAGAAUGGAAUAACUACCUCUAUUUGAUCAUGCCUGCAAAACUUCUUGAUUUUUUGUUUAAACGUGUUCUAGUUUUUGUUGGUAAUUUGGCUCAAAAUUUCCCUGUCAAAUGAGCCUUUCUUGUUAAUAAGAUCAUAUGUUUUCCUAUGUUCAUGACAUACCUUUAUUUUUGUUGUUCUUUUAUGCAAAUAACACAUUGAGCAUAACCUUUAAGUAUGAAACCAUUAUACCAAGAAUCUUUGGGUGUGUUUCCCUUUUCUUCCAAAGCUAUGCAUGAUCAUACAUGUUCACAAGGAUUUUUGGGAAUUCAAAGUUUAGUACAAAAAUAGAAAUCAUGUUGAUGUUUGUCCAAAACAAACAAGUUCUGGAAAUUCAGGUGAUUUUUUAGAGAGGUAAUCAUACACCUAGAAAACCUGAAAAAAAAAAACAAAAAACAAAAAAAAAACACCAUGAAUUGACUCUAAAAGCUGAAUUUUAUUUGAAUGAAUAAUGAGAAAUCAUGUUGCAUACUCACAUGAAAGCAAGGCUAACCAAUCUUAAGUGCAUGAGUUUGAAAUGAGGAAAGACCAUUUUUUAUAAUCAUUUCACAAGGCUAAAAUAUAUCAUUUGUAGUUCCCUUUUGAGCCUGGUAACAUUUUUGAAAAUAACCUUGGUUAGGAUCACACCUCACACUAGGGGCAAGUGCGAGAGACAUAAAAAAAAAAAAAACCUCAAUGAUUGAAAGUGCCCAAGAAAAACUGGGGGGCAUAAAAAAUAUUCUCAAUCAUAAAAAAUGUCCAAACAAAGUUGGGGGCAUGAAGAAAAAAACCAAAAGGUCCAAAAAAAUUGAGUUUCUCACAAAAAUAACCAAUAUGAUGAUGCUCAGAACCAAAUGAAGAAAACAAAAACAAAAAGAAAGGGCCCAAGCCCAACACUAGGGGCACAAUAGACAAUUUUGGAAAGACAUUCAAAUGACAAAAGGUCAAGAAACAAGCACAAGUGAUCCUUAGUUUUGAAAUCCCUCAAACACCUUUUGAGCCUACAAAGACCCUUUUCUUCAUAACCAAGAGCUCAAGCCUACAUUACGUGCCUAAUCAAGCCCUUUCUGAUCAAAGCAAGCAAUCAGGAUUGGUAAACAAUGCUUUCUCAUACGAAUCAAAUCAUUAUUCAUGCAAAUAAAAUGAAUGCUUUCAAGACUGGUUCUCUAUAACCCUCAAAAUAAAACCUUAAACCAUUUCCGACCAGCCAAAUGUCACUUCAUGUUUUUCACUAAAAGCAAAACAAAAAGUUUUCAUCACUCAUGAAAACCUCUCCAUAGGAAUCACUUGAAUUUCUUUAGAAUAAGUUCGCUUUGAAUCGAUAUCAAAAUGAUUUCUGUGUCUGGAAUAGCUUUGAAAAUUCCAAAAAUUCUUCAUGAAAACUACUCAUUGGCAAACCUUCCUUCACAUAGCCUCAUCUAAACUCGAAUUGAACACUUGGGGGCAUGAUCAAGCGGGGGGGGGGAAUAAAAAAAUGCAUGGUAGGGCUAGCUCCAUGAUUCCCUUCCUAAGAAAAAUAUCGGGCAAAAUUGGCAACACUUGAGAUAAAGGGUGGAGGACAAAGAAGUACAUUGAUAUCAAGUCCUUCCCAGAGGUUAAGAUCACAAGAUAUGACUUGAGUAAGCAAGAGCGAAAAAUCUAUCAAAGUUUACUACCACCACUCCAACUUUUAAGAAAAGAAAGACACCAUGAAGAAAUGAGGACCUAUAUUUCUCAAGUAAGUAUACAUGCAUAUCAAUCAUGAUGCAUUGCUUUCAUCAUUGACAGAUCGGUGUUACACCUCCUUUUAAGUGCGUCUUUGAGCCCUCACUUCUCAGGUAGUGCGUUUUUUAACCCUACCUCCUUUCAAGUGCGCCUUUGAGCCCUCACUUCUCAGGUAGUGCGUUUCAAACCCUACCUCCUUUCAAGUGUGCCUUUGAGCCACCAUUUCAGGUAGUGUGUUUUCUAACCCUGCCUCAUUUCGAGUGCGCCUUUGAGCCCUCACUUCUCAAGUAGUGUGUUUUCUAACCCUACCUCAUUUCGAGUGCGCCUUUGAGCCCUCAAUUCUUAGGUAGUGCGUUUUCUAACCCCACCUCAUUUCAAGUGCGCCUUUGAGCCCUUACUUCUCAGGUAGUGUGUUUUCUAACUUUACCUCCUUUCGAGUGUGCCUUUGGGCCACCACCAUUUGGGUAGUAUGUUUUCUAACCCUGCCUCAUUUUGAGUGUAACUUUGAGCCCUCACUUCCUUUUAUGUGCGCCUUUGAGCCACUAUUUCUUAGGUAAUGCAUUUUCUAACCCUACCUCAUUCCGAGUGCGCCCUUGAGCCUCCAUCUCUUAGGUAGUGAUUUUCUAACCCUACCUCCUUUCGAGUGCACCUUUAAGCCCUCGCCAUCCUUUUUCUGGGUAGGUCACCCAUUACAAUGAGGCCAUUCUUCCACUUGGGUAGGUCACCCAUUACAAUGAGACCAUUCUUUCUUUUUUCUUGGGUAGGUCACUCAUUACAAUGAGACCAAUAUUUUUAUGGGUAAGUCACCCAUUACAACGCGACCAAUUCUCCAUGUUUUUUAUCUGGGUAAGUCACCCAUUACAAUGAGACCAUUUUUCCACUUGGGUAGGUCACCCAUUACAAUGAGACCAUUAUUUCCUUUUUCUUUACCCAUUACAAUAAGACCAAUAUUUUUCUGGGUAGGUCACUCAUCAUAACGCGACCAAUUCUCCAUGUUUUUUAUCUAGGUAGGUCACCUAUUAUAAUAAGGUCAUUCUUCCACUUGGGUAGGUCACUCAUUACAAUGAGACCAUUUUUUUCUUUUUUCUUGGGUAGGUCACCCAUUACAAUAAGGUCACUCAUUACAAUGAGACCAAUCUUUUCUUUUUUCUUGGGUAGGUCACCCAUUACAAUAAGGUCAUUCUUCCACUUGGGUAGGUCACCCAUUACAUUGAGGCCACUCUUUUCUUUUUCCUUGGGUAGGUAACCCAUUACAAUGAGACCAAUAUUUUUCUAGGAAGGUCACCUAUUACAACAUGACCAAUUAUCUAUAUUUUUUUUUAUUUGGGUAGGUCACCCAUUACAAUGUGGUCAUUCUUCCACUUGGGUAGGUCACCCAUUACAAUAAGACCACUCUUUUAUUUUUCCUUAGGUAGGUUACUUAUUACAAUGAGACCAUUUUUUCUAGGAACAUCACCCGUUACAACACGACCAGUUCUCCAUAUUUUUUUAUCUGGGUAGGUCACCCAUUACAAUGAGGUCAUUCUUCCACCUGGGUAGGUCACCCAUUACAAUUAGACCACUCUUUCUUUUUUCCACUUGGGUAGGUCGCCCAUAAAAUAGAUCAGAGUAAGUGUGUGUGGGUGGUCGCCCCUGAAAAUAAACCAGUGUGAGUGUGUGUGGACAGGUCGCCCGAGAAAAUAGACCAGUGUAAGUGGGUGUGGGCAAGUCACCCUUGAAAAUAGACCAGUGUGAUUUUGUGUGGGCAAGUCGCCCGUGAAAAUAGAUCAGUGUGAGUGUGUGGGCUGGUCGCCCCUGAAAAUAGAUCACUUUUCUUCAAAAGGGGCAGGUCGCCCAAGAUAAUAAGAUUAUUUUCUUUUUCUUUUCUUUACAAAGCUUACUAUUGUCGCACCCCAAAAAAAUCAGCGUGCGGCAUCGGCUGGCGAUUUUUCGUCUCUUGUGAUUUGAUCUCUAGGAAAGACUUGAUAUCAUCAUACUUCUUUGUCCUCCGCCUCUUUAUCUCAAGGGUUGCCAAUUUUGCUUAACAUUUUCUUAGAAUGGGAAUCAUGGAGUCAGCCCUAUCAUAUGUUUCUUUAUUUCCCCCUAGCUUGAUCAUGCCUCCAAGUGUUCAAUUCAGGUUUGUGGACGAGGCUAUGUGAAUGUAGGUUUGACAAGGAGGUGUUUUCAUGCAGAAUUUUUGGAAUUCCAAAGCUAUUCCAGACACAAAAAUCAUUUUGACAUCGAUUCAAAGCAAACUCAUUCUAAAAAAAUUCAAGUGAUUCCUAUGGAAAGGUUAUCAAAAGUGAUGAAAACUUUUUGUUUUGGCUUUUGGUAAAAAAUAUGAAGUGACCUCUGGUUUGUCAGAAAAGGUUUAAAUUUCAAUUUGAGGGUUAUUGAGAAUCGAGGUUCAAAGCAUUUAUUUUAUUUGCAUGAAUAAUGAUUUGGUUCACAUGAGAAAGCAUUGCCUACCGAUCCAGAUUGCUUGCCUUUGAUCAGAAAGGGCUUGAUUAGGCACGUAAUGUAGGCUUGGGCUCUUUGUUUUUGUUUUCUUCAUAUGGUUUUGAGCAUCAUAAUUUUAUUUUUUAUUUUAUGCUCAAAACUCUUGAUCCUUUGGAUUUUUCUUCAUGUUCCUCUAGAUUUGUUCGGGCACCUUUGAUGAUUGAGAAUUUUCUUUUAUGCCCCCUAGUAUUGCUUGGGCACUUUCGAUCAUUGAAGUUUUCUCUAUGUCAUCGCACUUGCCCCCAGUGUGGGGUGUGAUCCUAGCCAAGGUUAUUUAUCUCAAGAAAAGCAUAAGGCUCAAAAGGGACUGCAAAUGAUAUAUUUUAGCCUCGUGAAAAGAUUAUCAAAGAUGACCUUUCUUCAUUUCAAACUCAUGCAUUUAGGAUCAGUAAGCUUUGCUUUCAUGUGAGUAUACAAUGUGAUUUCUCAUUAUUCAUUCAAAUAAAACUCAGCUUUUGGAGUCACUUCAUGGGUUCUUUUUGUUUUUUUUUUUGGGGUUUUUCUAGGUGUAUGGUUACCUUUCUAAGGAACACUUGAAUUUCUAGAACUCGUUUGUUUUGGACAAACAUCAACAUGAUUUCUGUUUUUGUACUAAACUUUGAAUUCCCAAAAAUCCUAUGAAGGUAUAUUAUGAACACAGGAAAACACAUGAUCUUAUUAACAAGAAAAGGCUCAUUUGACAGGUAAGGUUUUUUUUUUUUUUUUAAUGAAAUUUAGAGCCAAAUUAUCAACAAAACUGGAACAGGUUGAAACAAAAAUCAAGAAGUUUUCUAGGCAUGAUCAAACUAAGGUUUUUUUUUUUUUUUUUUUUUGCAGCAAAAGAAAUGGGCUCCAUUAUGCACUAGUGGUGCAAUUCCCUUUUGUCAGCCUUCCCACUAAAGCUUUUUGCAGAAAAUACAUGAUUGCGCUAAGUUUCUUGACAAAUUUUGCCCCCAAUUUCUUCGGGCUGAGUAAUUGUUGGGUUUUGAACAAAGAUGAUAGGUCGGUUGGAAGGAACUUUCUUGGAGUUAUUUUUCAGUAUCUACUCGAGUAAGCUAGAAGCAAGCCGCACAUGUCUUCAAAAAUUACAACGAGCAUACUCUUCAUCUUCCGAGUUUUUCUUCAUUCAAAGUCGGGUGUUGUAGACUCGUAGGGGACCUACCUUUCAUUCUGGUGCAUGUAUGACAAAUGUAUGAACAUGUAAUCUAUAUGAUGAACUCGCCCUUCGAGGGGUGACAAUAUGGUCGUAACUCUUGUAUGAUGGACAAGAAUCGUGAUUUUUGCUCAAACUCUACAAUGAAAAUUUUCGGAGUGACGGCCAAUGUGUCACCCACAAGUCUUGAGUUCAAGAUGCUUCAAGAAGGGUUUGCCCUUAUACAAAUAACGAUAGCACAUACAACUUAAGGACAUGUUCUAUUUAUUAUGUGAACAUGGGUAAGUUUUCUAUCUGGUCUCAAAAGGGUCUCAUAUCUGCCCAGUGACGUUCUUCGUAAAACAGUAUGGGGGCGUUGCAAGGAAUGGUUAAGGCACGUAUACCCACCAUUACCAAGCAGGCACUCAGAUAUGAGUUGGGUGUUUCACGCAUCUGAACCCUGACCAAUAGUCUUAGGGCAGAUCGCUAGUUCCCCACCUAACCUAGAAGCUUGUGUGUGCUUUCAAAAAUAAAUACAGGUGAUGCAUGAACAAUUCUAUAAAAUGCAUGGAAAAAAAUAUUAACAAAAAGAUAAAAAUGCAAAAAACUUAAACACAUCAAAUACACAAAGCUUAGUCCAAUAAUGUCAGAAACAGUACCUUCCCAGUGAGUCGCCAUUCUGUCGCACCCCAAAAAAAAUCAGCGGUCGGCUGGCGAUUUUUCGUCUCGUGUUGUUUGAUUUGGUUCGUUGGAGUCGCCACUAGUAAUUUAUUGAAGGGCUACUAGGAAACCGGAUGUACUGGUCUUGUCAGAGAUUCGCGGGUAAGGGACUGGUUGUGGUUAGGGAAGGUAUUAGCACCCUAACGCACCCUAAGCUGCUUCACGAAAUGAUGUGUUAAAGAAGUUUUAAUAAUUGUCUUUUCAUCGAAAAUUAGAAAUAUCACUUACGUAUAAGUUAAUAGUUCUUAACCGUGAUCCGAUCAAAAUAUUAAAUUCUUCUUUAAUAUAUUUGCAAUUUUAUCAUUAAAAAAUAUAUACAAAUAAAUAAAACAAAAUAAAAACACACAUUCACUUUCACUAUAUUUGUUUCUUUUUUUUUUCUUUUUUUUUCUUUACACUAUUAACAUCUUACAAAUCACAAAAAUUCAAAAUAAAUCAAAAUAGUACAUUAAACAAUUCAAAAAUAUUAAACAAUUCAAAAAAAUUACAAAAUAAACCCCCAAAAACUACAGGAUCGGUGGAAGGCCUUCCGGAAUCUGCUGAAAUCAUUGCGGCGCGUUGCACCACGCGCCGCUUGUUGGAAAGUCCGGCAAGCAGGGGGCUCUAGAACAGUUUCCCCUUCUCUUCUCUUCCCAGCCUGUGAUGGCUUUCACCGUGACCUGCAACGAAAAAAACAAACCACAGGCAGUCGGUUUUAACCCAUUUUAGUUUAGAUCUGCAUUCUCUCCCAUCUCAUUUUCCGAUCUGCUCAUCUGUGCAUAUUAUUUUGGUUUCCUCUUCUUCUGUUCCAGAUGGUCGGAGGUUGUAGGGGGAGCUGUGGGUGGUCGGUUGAAAGAGGAGCCCGGUGGCAGUGCUGAGGAGAUCGGGUUUGUGACCGGCUGCUGUGGUCUUCAGCUGUGGGGAGAUCGGUGGCGGGUUCGGUGUGCUGGAGGAGCUCAGCCGCCGCUGUGAUGGGCCCUGUUCGUUGACCGGCUGCUGCUUUUCCGUGGCUUGUCCGGGUGUCCGGUGAGCAGGGAAGAAGGGAGGCGGCCAGAGAAGGUGAUGGGUUUGUGGGGGGUAUGGUCUGUGGGUUGAAGGGAAGAGAAAGCUUUUUGGGUGAUGAGGGUGGGGCUUUGGUAGAUGACAGUGAAAAGGCUGGGUUGUGUGAUCGGGAGAGGAGGAAAUGUUGUGGGAUGAGCGGCGGUUUUCCGAAGAGAAAAAAAAAAUCCAAAACCGUGAGGGGCGGCUCCUUUUGUUAGAGAUGACUUUAGGGUUAGGGAUUUUUGUUUUUUUUUUUUUUGAUAUUUCAAAAAUUGCCCCUCCCUCUUUGAAUGUGAGUUGAAGACCAGUAUUUUAUAGGCAAAAAAUGUUGCCAAGUUUUUCAACUUGGUCCCUCAACUUCUUUCUUUUUUGUAAAUUUUGAUUUUUCUUAUUUUUUUAUAUUUUUCGAAAACGAGCAAUAUCAACGUCGACUCAACGAGGAAAAUCAAUGAUUUUAAAAAUGAUGCGUGAAAAGUCGAACGCGUUUGAAAAAUUAAAUUCUUUUCUAGACGACGUUGAAAAUGCUAAAAUAACGAAAAUAUAUUAAAAAACAUAUUUUUUGGAUUUUCUUUGUUUUUCUCUAUUUUUGGAAUUUUUUGAAAAUAUAUCAAAAACAUGGGUCAAAAAUUGGGUAGCAACAACUAUGCAAAACAUUGAGGAGUUUUGCUUCAUAAGAAAUGUAAAGAGGGAGCAUCUGUUGUUACUCAAUUUUGACCCACUUUUUUGCUAAAAAAUUUUUAAAACAACAAAAAUCCAAAAAAUAUGUUUUUAAUAUAUUUGCAUCGUUUUUAGCAUUUUCAACGUCGUCUAAAAAAAGAAUUUAAAUUUUCAAAGGUCUUUCGAAUGCGUUCGACUUUUCACGCCUCAUUUUUAAAAAUCAUUGAUUUUCCUCAUUAAGUCGACGUUGAUAUCGCUCGUUUUCAAAAAAUACAAAAAAAUUAAGAAAAUCAAAUUUAUAAAAAAAGAAAAAAAGUUGAUAGACCAAUUUUGAGGCCCAAGUAACAUUUUAUCUAUAAGUAGGAGUUUCCACAACUCACACAAAGGAGGGGGGCAAUCUUGUACCAAAAUUAGAAGAGGCAACACAAAAAAAAACUAAACAACCUAACCCUACCAGCUCCCACUCUAAGGGAGCAGCUGUUCUCCCUCUUGAAUUAAAAAGGAGUUGUAUCCCCCCAACAACUAAUUGGAUUUAUUUUUUAGAAAACAAAAUCGUCGUCCCCUGGGGUCCUUAGUGGUUGCUCUCCCAGAACAGAGCCAAGGACCCCCGACCAUUUUAGCUCUCUGUUUUCUCCCUUGCACCCGAAGCAGCCCCAUUCCCAGAAAUCUUCCCUUCUUAGUCGUUCCCUCACCCUAGACAACCCCAACAACGGCCACCAACCCUUUCUCUUUCUCUGCACCAAGAUCAUCCCCAUCACCCCUCACCAGGCUCGCCUCAAUUUUCCCCUCUUAACCAUUCUUCCCUCAGCUAACAGACCACACCCACAUAACCCCCUAAACCAGCACCCCACUUCCCAUCACCUCUCCUCUUCCCUCGAUCUUCUCCUUCAACUCCUCACCCAACUCAUGGACUAGCCAAGAGCACCCCCUCACUCUCCUCUCAACCGGUCUUUGCCGUCAGCAGCAACAUCCCCUCACUAGAUCGGUUCGCCGCUCCUUCAUCCUCUGCAAGUGAACGCAGAAGGAAGAUAAAGGGAAGUAGCAAGUGAGAAUCCAUCAGCGCUGCAAGCAUCUUCGGUCUCCAGAAGCAGGUACGCCUGUUUCUUCAUUUGUGCAUUCUUUAAAUUUGUAAGAACACUGCGCGAAGGUAAUUUAAUUACCUUCGUGCAGCGCCACUCCAGCGUGAACAAGUUCACGCAUGCUUCGGCCCCAGCCGGGUCAUUGGCUUGUUAAAAGUUGAAAAUGAAGAAAAUUAAAUUUAAAAAUAAGAUACAACAAAAGAAUAUGAGUUUAUCCGAGUUAACCCAUAAAACAUGUGACCCGAGCAUAAGAUCGAGACAACCUCAUAGAAAACAAAUCAAAAUAAUUCAUGAGGUCUAAUUCAUAAUCAACCAAAUGUUAAAGGAUAAAAUAGAAAAAAUUCCAAUGAAAAAGUCAAUAAAAACUCGAGUUAACUAGGUCAACCCCUCAAACCCACGACUUAUGUAAUGAUAAUCUUAUAUAAAGCAAACCAAAAUAAAUCAUGAAACAUAAUUCCCAACCAACCUAAUGUUGAAUGAUGAAAUUGAAAAAACAAAUUUUCAAUUAAAAAGUAUAAAUAAAACUGGAGUCAACCCGCCAAGGUUGCACGUAUUAGAAAUAUUAUUUGAAAAUAAAUUUCUUUUUAUUUCAAAAUUAAAGUUCAUGUAUAUAAAAGAUUAAAAAAAUAUAGAUGAAUCAGAAAUAACUCCUAAAAAAUUAAAUGCAUAAUUAAAAUAUAAUUGUUAUUUCAAAUAAGCUUUCUAAAAAGCAUAAAAGAGAGAAAGAAUAUUAAUCUAAAUAAAAUUAAAAUUAAAAAUAAGAUUAAUUUAAAAAAUAGAAACGAAAAACAAAAUAAAAUAUUUUUUCCUUAACAAAAAAAAAAGUAAACAAUGUUGUCCAUAGUAAAACUUGAGGGGUGAACCCGGACCAUGAGCUCAACCAAGUUUAAUAUUUUUUUCCCCUUUAAAUUUAUAGCAAACAUUAAAAAAGUAAACAAUGUUGUCCACAAUAAAACAUAAAAGGGUGAACAAUAUGGCUGCAUGAUAUUCACCUCACAUAUUUUCCUUUUAAAUUUAUAGCAAAACCUUAAAAAAACAAAACAAAACAAAAAAACUAAUGUCGUCCACAAUAAAACGUGAGGGGGUGAGCAGUGUAUCUGCACAGUGUUUACCCCAUACGCUUUAGUUUAUUUAUGGUAAAUCGAGACCAUGAAUUCAAUUGAGUUUAAUAUUUUCCCUCUUAAAUUUAUAGCAAAACCUUAAAAAAACAAAACAAAAAAACUAAUGUCGUCCACAAUAAAACGUGAGGGGGUGAGCGGUGUAUCUGCACAGUGUUUAUCCCAUACGCUUUAGUUUAUUUAUGGUAAAUCGAGACCAUGAAUUCAACUGAGUUUAAUAUUUUCCCUUUUAAAUUUAUAGCAAACCUAAAAAUAAAUGAACAAUGUCAUCUACUGUAAAAUAUAAGGAAUGGUUUAGUUUAUAAAAAAAGCCAAUGACCCGGAUGGGCAAAAAUCAAAGAAAGCAGGCGUGAAGUGAUUUCACGCGUGCAUGAGCAGACUAGAGAAAAUAAGUUUUAGAAUGUGUGAAUUAAAAAUUCAAAGCAAACAGUAGCCGAUGAAUUAAAAUGAAAAGCGGGGAAAGAGAAGUUUGCUUACUUGGUCUGCAGCUCCUGAAGAUGAAGACGAAGUCGGUUCUCUCGGGUGGUUCUUCUUUUUCUGGUCACUGUUCGUCCUCCAUUUUUCUGUGGUUCUUGGUCUGUUCCUCCAUUUUUUUAGUUCUUCCUCUGUUUCUGUUUCGGUUUGUUCCCCUGCUCGUCGUCUUCCCUCAGUUUUUUCGUUCCCAGUCUCCUGCGUCUUCUGCCUCCUUCUUUCUCCCCAGUUUUUUUAGUUUCUUUUCUCUGGUUCUGUGAUCCCCUGUCUCUGGUUUUUUCGCUGUUUUCCCCCCGUUGUUCGUGGCUUUCUUCUUUAGCCUCCUCUGUUUCUUUGAGAAGAAACAGAGGAACGAACGUCUUUUAUUUCUAGUCUCCCCGGUUCUGUGAUUACCCCAUGUUCGUGUUCCAGUGUCUUCGUUCUCCUGUUUCUGGGUUUCUUGGUCUGCUGCCUCUAGGUAUUUGUUUCCCCCCCUCUCUGUGCUGUGUUUUCUUCCACCCCCCUUCUCGCUCUCUCAUCUUCUCUGGCUUUAUAGCCAAGGAAUGCCAAGCAUCUCUACGGCUUCAAAGCCAUUACUGAAGAAACCGUUCCUGUGGAAGGAGACGAAGAAGGCGAUGGUUGGUUUCUAGAAACGGCGUCGUUUGUGUGAUGGGAAUGGCCAUUUGCAAUCUAGUCACUGAAGGUCUGAAAUCAUGCAAUCAAGCCCCUGGAUAAAAUGUAGUUGGAUCCUUGUAUUUCCGCGCCAUUUUCAAGCUGGUCCUUGUGGUUUACGUUUUGCAAUUUGGACCCCAAUUAAAAUCUAAACUUUGAUAUUCUUCAAUUAAAUCCCUGAUUUCAUUAAUUUAAUUAAAUCCAAAGUCCAAUUAAGUCGAAAACUUAAUCAAUUCUCCAAUUAAGCCCCUUAUUGGAUUAAUUAAAUUGAUUCCAAGCUCAAUCAAGUCUCAAACCUUUAUCAAUUCUCCAAGGAAACCCUUGAUUGGAUGAAUUAAAUUAAUUCCAAGCUUAAUUAAGUCUCAAAACUUUAUCAAUUCUUCAAUUAAACCCUUAAUUGGAUUAAUUAAAUUAAUUCCAAGCUUAAUCAAGUCUCAAAACUUUAUCAAUUCUUCAAUUAAACCCUUAAUUGGAUUAAUUAAAUUAAUUCCAAGCUCAAUUAAAUUAAUUUCAAAGUUUAAUUAAACCCCAAAACUUCCAAUCAUGUUGCCCUUGACCCAAAUUUUAAUUCAUUCUUCAUCUAUUUCAUUUUUACUUGUUUUUUUUUUAUAAUAAUAAUUAUUUUUUUAUUUUUUUUCAUUAAAUAAAAUAAUAAUAAUAAUUAAAAUAAAAUGAUCAAAAAUUAAGUUAUGACACUCGUGUCCGUGGAUGCUGAAUAUCAUCAAUGAGAGCACAAGCUGAUUUAACAGUAAAAAUCUCAUUCUUCUCUCACUGCCACACCCUUCUCUCAGCUGAAUAAAAAAUAGAUAAAUUCCACUCUGCUUCAGGUUUUGAUGACUCCAAACGCUGACACUCCCUAUUCUCAGCUUCAUGUAUGACCCCACAUUUAGCAAUACAUGUCAAUGAACGCGUUUGCUAUGAUCACACUGAUUCGUUGUGUUUUGUAACGAUGGUGUAGUUUCAAUGGAUUCCCUGACCAAAUUCCAAGCAAUCCAAUUGACCACAAGUAGAGAGCACACGAACUAAUGUUCUCCAAUGGAACAAACGCAGCCUCCAGCAUGUUACAAACCAUUCUAAAGCUUCCUUUGGGUGGUUGCCCAGCAAUGAUGGCACUCCAGGAAACCACAUUCCUCUCCGGCAUCUCAUUAAACGACAUCCUUGCCAGCUCUAGCUCACCGCUUUUAGCAUACCCAUUAACCAUGCUCGUCCAAGAGAACACAUCUCUAACUCCCAUGGUAUCAUAGAUCCCUCUUGCAGGAUCCAAGAAGCCACAUUUCACAUUCAUGGUGAUUUGCAUUUCUAGUUUUACAUAUUCGUGAAAACUCUUCCCUUCUGCGAGCAAGCUGAACCAGCGGCUAUCAUAGUGACCUCUUCUGGCUCCACAUUGCCCUCCACUGACAUCGAGUCAAAAAGCUUCCAGGUCUCAUCCCAACAGUUACGCUUAGAACACCCAUCAGUCAUAGACAGAAUUAAAGUCCAUCUCUAACAGGAAUUCCAUCAAACAAGUGUCAAGCAAAACCCAAACAACCACGCAGGUCAUAAAAACGAGCCAACCCAUCUUGAAACAACAUAGCAGAAACAAAACCCAUCUUUCGAAUACCACAAUGAACUGAUUUCCCUCCUAAAACUCUCAAAACCUGCUCGCCGCACGCUUUGAGCGCAGGAACAAAGCUCCUCCAGUCCAUUUCAGCGCCAUUCUGAAGCAUUUGGCAGAAAACAGGAAGCCACUACCGCCCAUUUUGGCUUCAGAGUAGCCUCUAAUCAUGGUAUUCCAAAUAUAAGGCCAUUUUGGUUUUGUAUCUGCGAAAACAGAAGACGAGCAUGAUUUAUAGCUGCAGUGUGAGAGAGGGCAAAAGGCCAAGGCAAGACAAAGCUUGGGGGUAGAUUAGCCAGACUAUAAAGGAGAAGGACUUGUUUGUACUUGUUCCAAGAUUGUGAGUCAAAAUAAUACCGCUUCUUUUCCUUCAAACGCAAUCUCGUCCUACGUUCCAGGGAAUCUUUUUACCUAAUCUUUUAAUAUAUAUUUGAAUGGCAUCUUGGCUUAAGCUCCUUCAAUUAUUGCUUUCGAAUAUUCUCAUGGUAUUGCUCUUUGUUUUUGAGGAUCCAAUUAAUAAGCAAAUCAUGGAGACUUGGCUGUUGACCUCAACACUCUCGUCUGCUUUGACUCCUUCAAUAUCAUGGAUGUGAACCAGGCUUGGAAUAUUGGGUGUUCUUGUUUUUGAUACAUGUAAAGAGGUAAGCUAAGCAUCUCUUUCAAGAUCUCUCUAGCUGCUGCAGCGAUUCCAAAUCGCUUUCUUUCUUCAAGUUCCUUAGAAGAAGUAUUGUAUAGCAACCAACUUUCUUUGCGUUUUGCUCCAGGUCUGGGCCAAUUUUGAUGCCUUUUGUGAAUCCCUCCAUCUGGGCUUAUCAAAAGAGGAGGAGGAAAGAAGUAAGUUUCUCUUCUCAGUUUCAGUGCUUCUUUAUUGAAUUACUCUCACUAUUCCCAUUACGUUCUGUGAAUUUUAAAGGACUAGACAUGUUUCAAUUCAGUACCGAGCUAGUUUCUUGAUGGUUGCUUGCUCCAAACUUCUUUACAAAACCAAUCAAACUUCACAUAAACUAGGAAGGAAAGGGGGAAGUUGGAAUCUUGAGUUCACAGGCUAAUGGUGGAGUCCAUGUUACAAUUGCUUUGCUUAAACAAAUCCGUUCCGGUUAGCGUUCUGUUUUUUCAAUUGAAAUAAAAUGAACAUAAUUUCAACUCACAUCUAUAUAUAACCACAAUUUUAAAAGUUGGGCUUUAGUCGGUAUGACCUAAUUAAUUGGAUGAAUUCAAUGACAACAUCAGCGACUAAUAAAACUAGACUAAAAAUAUUAUGGAAUUCAAUCCUCAGUAAGUUAAACUUAUUGUUAAAUAAAUAAAAUUUAAAAAAUCAAAUUCAAAAAAAAAAAAAAGACAAAGAAUGACCUUUAAAAACAAAAUUAUGAAAAUACAAUCUUCAAUUUUGCAAGAUCUUUCUAAACUUUUAACUUGAUAUAUUACAAUAUAUUAGGAGAUUCCUCCUAAAAUUUCAGCCUCAUCUAAUAGUCAAAUUAAAAAAUAUAAUUGAUAUUAUAAAAAUAGACAAUAUUUAAAAAAAAUGAAAAAAAAAAUUAUUGCCCCUCUUUUAGUUUUACACGGUCCCUCCAACCUAUUAUUAUUAUUAUUAUUAUUAUUGCCCCUCUUUUAGUUUUAAGAUAUCCCAUGUUAUUUUAUCAGUCGAAAGUUUUAUAAAUACCAGAGUUUCCAGAAAUCCCCAAAAUAUCAUCAAAGUUUUAGGAACAUAAUUUUAUAGAUGAUAUGUUAUUACGAUAGGAUUAUAUCUCAAUAUUGACACCAUAGGAUUUGAAUCCAUCGAUCUUAAUUUGUUUCAUAGCAUCACCAAUGAGUUAGUUCCCAUGAUUUCAAAAACUAUAUAUAUGGAUUCUCUAUGGUUUUAAAUCAAUGGAAAUCUUCAUUUUCAGACACUUGAAAAGCGCACAAAAUAGAAAAAAAUAAAAAUAAAAAACCUACAAAGUUGAAAAACCUGGAAAUGUAAAAAACUUGAGAAUUACAUGCACGUAAUACAUAUUCAAGAAACUAAGAACAGCAACAUAUUUAUUUAAUUCGACGGACGCAGAUAACAUUGAUUAUGAUCACUACAAACACUCAAACAUAAACACGUACAUAAAUUCAUUCUUCUAUAUAUAUCUGGAUAUGCAUGGCGGAGCAGCCACGCUCCAUGCAAAUAAUAGCUAGUUAGGUCUUGUCACAUCACCCCAAUCCUCCUUACCAAACAGCUUGAUACUCCUCUUAGCUUCAAUCCUGAACUGUGACCCCAGGUUCUGGUCAUCCUCACGAUGAAGAACAACCAUGUCACCAACUCUCAGUUCAUAAUAUUUAACAAAUUGACGCCAGCCCUUAGAAAGCACUGGCUUGUCAUAGUCUCCAUCUCUCUUCAGGCAACGAAUAACUCGAAGCUCACCACAGCUAUCUUUAACAUGCAAAUCAACAGAAUUAUUUCCAGCAAAAUCUAAAUGCUGCAAGCAAUGAGCUGGGAACGAGAACCGAAAACGAACAUCAGUAUCUGUCAACACUUUGCUGAAGAUCUGCAUUUUUUUUCUCAAGGGUCGUAAAAAGAGAGAGAA
rnacentral:lncRNA from 1 species